UACUGUUUUCUACAUUUCCUUCUGAGAUAGAUUUCUGGAAUUUACUUGUUAUGGAAGUGAUUUAUGCAGGAGGGAAGUUCUGUAUUUCUAAUUUGCCUUAGGCUUUUUGGGACUAAAAACCAGUUGUAAUAUAAACAUUCUUGGUUGGGUUGAUUUCUAUGUGAGGACCUUUAACAAAGGCUUUAUUUACUUUUUUUUUUUUUAAGAUUUAAAAAAAAAAUUUAUUUGAAAGGCAGAGUUAUAGAGAGGUAGAGGCAGAGGGAGAGGUUUUCUAUCUGCUGGUUCACUCUCCAAAUGGCUGCAACAGCUGAUCUAAAACCAGGAGCCAGGAGCUUCUUCUGGGUCUCCAUGCUGGUGCAGGGGCUGAAGCACUUGGGUCAUCUUCUGCUUUCCCAGGCUGUAACAGAGAGCUGGAUGGGAAUUGGAGCAGCUGGGUCUUGAACCGAUGCCCAUAUGGGAUGCCAGCAUAGUAGGCGGCGGCUUUACCCGCUACACCACCUACUACACCACUGCCCCUUUAUUUACUUUUAACAUUUGAAUUUGACGGGCUGGCACUGUGGCUAACAGGUAAAGCUGCUGCCUGCAGUGCCAGCAUCCCAUAUGGGCUCCAGUUCAAGUCUCGGCUGCUCCACUUCGAUCCAACUCUCUGCUAUGACCUGGGAAAGAUGGCUGAAGUCCUUGGGCCCCUGCACCCACGUGGGAGACCCAGAAGAUGAUCCUGGCUCCUGGCUCCAGAUCAGCGCAGCUCCAGCUGUUGCGGCCAACUGGGGAAUGAACCAGCAGAUGGAAGACAUCCCCUCUCCUCCCGUGUAACUCUGACUUUCAAGUAAAUAAUAAACUAAAUCUUAAAAAAAAAGAAAUUUGAACUUGACUUUCUCAACCACUGUGGAUCAUAUAGCUGAUGUUAAGGAAAGGAACUGGUUGUCUAUAAGUGUAAUUGAAGACUUAUGCACUCUUUAAAGAGAUUGAUACUUGGGUAAACCUUGCUGUCAUCAUGAUUCUCUCAACCCUUGCCUUUAUUUGGUCUUGACUAGAGGAAAAUAUACUCUGAUUGAUUGUGUAGAACACCUUUUGACUUAGAUCCGACUGGAUACUACUGACUGAGUUCAUACAGACAUGUAAUGGCUUCUGGGUAAAAGGAGUAUUGCUAUUGAAACCUCUUGUAUGGUAGAUGCUAUGCAAAACAUCCACAGAAUGUGGCCUUUAGAGUUCAAGAAGUUGAUCUGGUAUUCCUGGAUUUACUUUGUCCUUUUUUUCUGGAUUUUGGUAUUUAUAUAUUUGUACUAUUUCUUGAUUUUUGUUCAUUGGUCUAUACAAGGACAUUAUAAUGGGGGGAUAUGAAGGCUGUUUUGUAGAGAUUCUGGAUAUAGGCAUGAAUCAGAAUGGCUUAUAGUAAAUCAUAACAUUUCAGAAAAGAAUCUAAAGAAGAUAGUAGGGAUUUAGUGUUAGUUUACUUUUAAGUAAUAUGCAUGUUAGUUAACAAAAUAGACUUUGGAGUCUGGCUUAGAUUCCUAGUUAGCCAUGUGCUAACUGUCACAGUGAGUAAGUUACCAGACAUCACAUUAAGUCAAUGCAUCAACUACAAAACUGAAAACUUUAGCCUUCUUUUCAUAGAUAAGAAAACAAAUUUAGGGAAAUAAGUAUUUAACAUAGUCCCAGCCUUCAAAUAAAUUUUAAAUUAAAAAUAACCAGAUGUAUCCUAGGUGAAUGGUGAGAAUGAAUGGAGUGAAAGUGUUGCAAAGAUGAUAAAGAAGUUAAACCUGAUGUAUUGAAAUAUAUCUUUAUUCCUACAAUUUGACUUAUGGCAGUUUUCAGCCUUGAAUUAGAUUUAAUUUUUAAAUAAUUUUUCUUCUUACCUUAAAAUUAUUUCUAUUACAUAUGCUUCUAAAGUAUUUUGAACUUGAUUUCAGUUAAAAAACAUGUAUCUGUUAGUUGACCAUUAAGUUUAAGAUAUUAAUGUCUCUUGAUAUUGAGAUGGAAUGGCAAAAGAGAAAUCCUGUAUUCAUUAAACCUAAUUUAAGGGCAGUAGGAUUGUUUUUUAGCUUUCUGUACUUCAGGGUAGAAAUGAAACCAUGAUGUGUGUAUGUUUCUAUAUAUAUAUAUGCAUUGUAUAUGUGUAAUGCAUAUAUAAGGUUUAUUUGACUAAGUGAAACCUGUAAACUUAAUAGCAGAACCUUUCCUUCCUAUUAAACUUGAAGAAGAAAUAGUCAUAUGGAGUCUCAGUAUAGUAUGUAAACAUGGCUUUAUGUUGUGCUUACCUCAAAAUCGAUCAUAGUUGGAGGAGGCAUUUAGCCUAAUGGUUAAGACUCUUGCAUCCCAGAUUGGUGUGCCUGAGUUUAAUGUCCAGUUUCAGCAUCCAAUUCCAACUUUCCACCCCUGCGGAGAGGCAGCAGUGAUGGAUCAAUAAUUGGGUUCCUGACAUUCACUUUAGAGACCUGGAUUGUGUUUCCAGAUCCUGGUUUUGGCCCUGGCUUAGCCAUGGCUGUUGCAGGCAUAUGGAGAGUGAACUAUCAGAUGAGAGCUCUCUCUUUCUGUCUGUUUCUCAAAAAAAAAAAAAAAAAAAAAAAAAAAAAAAAACUAUUAGCUUAGAAAAUUUAGAGAAAUGGCAGUUAAUUACAAUACUCACACCAGCUGAAAUAUACAAAGAUACUUCAGAAAGUUUAUGGAAAAAUGGAAUUUAUUUUGGGAUUGAAAAACUUUAAAGAAAAGAUUUAUUUAUUUGAAAGGCAAAAUGAGAGAGAGAGAAUUGAUUCUGUUGGUUCAUUGUCCAAAUGCUUGCAACAACCAGGUCUUGGCCCAGCUGAAGGCAGGAGCCAGGAACUCCAUCUGGGUCUUCCUCACAGGUAGCAGGGGCCCAGGUACUUGAAACAUCUUCCAUUGUCUUCCCAGGUGCAUUAGCAGGGAGUUGGAUUGGAAGCACAGAAGCAAGGACUCAAAGUAGUACUCCCAAAAGGGAUGCUGGUUUUACAAGUGGUAGGUUAACCUGAUGUGCCAUUACACUGGCCACGUAUUUUGGUGCCAAAAAACAUUCAAAUUCAUGUGUAGUGUUUUAAAAUACACAUUGAAGAUCCCUUGUAUACAUAUGUAUUUCAGUUAUUUUGAGGUUAAAUUCUUUAGAUACUAAUUCUUUUAACUGGGCCUUGGCUUAUUAUACUAAAGAGCAAUAGUGCUUAAAAUGAUAUGGAUACAAGAAAAAAACUAACUUAUGAAUGGAACUGAAUGAAAUGCAUAUAUUGAAUGUGAAUAUUCAAUUUAACUCAAUUCAGUUGAAUUAAAUGGACACAUUUAAUUAUUUAAUAUAUAUUUAUUAAGUGGUAAAGUUGGUGUCCUGCAAGAAGCAGAGACAUACGCAUGAAUUAACAUCACACUAUAGGGGCUGGCACUGUGGUGCAGUGGGUUAAUCCUCCAUCUUUGGCGCUGGCAUCCCAUAUGGGCACUGGUUCUGGUCCUGGCUGCUCCUCUUCUGAUCCUACUCUCUGCUAUAGCCUAGGAAAGCAGAAGAAGAUGGCUGAAGUCCUUGGGCCCCUGCACCCUCGUGGGAGACCUGGAAAAAGCUCCUGGCUUUGGAUCAGCACAGCUCUGGUUGUUAUGGCCAUUUGGGAAGUGAACCAGUAGAUGGAAGACCUCUCUCUCUGUCUCUCCCUCUCAUUGUCUAUAACUCUACCUUCAAAUAAAUAAAUAAAAUAUUUUUUAAAAAUCACACUAUAUGUGUGCAAAAUUAACUUUCUGAUAGUAAACCUUACAAGGGAAAGGUCAACACAGUGCAUCUCUCCCUGUCCUCCUGUGGGGAGAUCUGAUGGGUUCAGCUUUGCUGUAAAAAAGUGGGACAGGUCUCAGGAUAGGAACUGUGCUCUGCUAUAUUGUUUACAGGCAAGUUGGGAAAAGGGGAAAGAGCAUCCAAUCAAUUAAGUGCUAAAGACUUGGCUAGGGGAUUCUCAUAUCAGUUCUACUUGAAUCAGCUGAAGAGACCUGGUUUUCUUCAAAUGGGACUAGCUCAGUCUUCUUGAGUCAGCUACUUGCUAAACUAUGAGAAUGGAGAAGAUAGAGAGCCACAAAGGCUCUCCAAGGUAACAUCUGAUGUCAGUGGGGAAAUCGUUUAAUGUGAUUAUUACUUUUUAUACCUAUGUUCCCAACCAGUCUGUGGUCUUGCUAAGGAUAAAAAUGUGGCUUUAAUUUUUCUGUCCCUAGCACCUUACCAGCACAGUAACUGAUGACAGUAGAGAGUUAAUAAGUCAAUUAGUGAUGAUGUUCCAUAUGUAUUUAACUAAGUUUAAUAUUCCUACACCUUAGUAUUUUUCAGGAAAAGCAACCAUUUUUAUACAAUAAGGUAUAUGCUCUUAGUCUUCAGUUACAUUCUUAAGUAUAUGAAAAAUAUUUAAAAGUGUUCUCUGAAUGGAUUUUGAUCCUUUCCGAAAGUAUUGUGGAGGUGCUAAAGUGAUCAAAUUGACUUCUUCAGGGAUGGUAGACUGGACCCCUGAAUUCUCUAAAUUCAUAAGAAUUACAUGCAAGGGUUUUUUUUUUUUUUAAUGUAAAACUAUGAAUUCCCAUACAUAAAGUCUUCAGGAGAGCAGAUGAUAGCAAUGAUUUUUUUGGAAGCUGGAAAGUAGAAAGACAUGUGGUUAUCCUAGCAUACACACAAAAACUCAGUGAAAAACCAGGAGUAGGAACCAACAAUUGAAAUUAGGCCUCGAAAAAAACUGAGAACAACUCAUGUUGUCAGGUUUUACAGAACAACUCAUGUUGUCAGGUUUUACAGAACCGCCAAGGCUUAAAAAAGUGAUGGAAUCAGAUUCCUCUGGAAAAGGGGAUGAAACUGAUAUCUGUCUUGAAAUAAGAUCUUGAAAGUAAGAUUUCAGAAACAGCUGGAGAAUCUGAUUCCUUCCUUAGCUUUUUCUCAGCAACCAACUUCUCCAUCUUAGCCUUCAGAAGACUUAGAGGACAGUAGACACAAGUUGAGAGAAAGGGCACCAUAUUGAAAACCGUGAAGUUUUAUAUACUAAAUGUUGGCAUACGUCCUCUUCCUCUUUUAGCUCUCUGUCCUGAUUUGGUUCCCAGAACUCUAAUAUCCAGGCUGGUGCUCUUCAUGUGUAAUAGUGAAAGAUAAUCUGAGUGAUUUGAUAAGCCCAAGAGAAAAUUUCUUAAGAUAUAUCCACAGCGUAGUCUCUAACAAAAUGUACAAGUCAGAUCACUUUGAAGUCUAUGGUUGACUAGAGUGAUGAACAUGCACAGAACUUUCAAUCAACUUUAUAAUCUCCCACUUUGAAAUAUGAGCUGAUAGCCGAGUAUCACCAGACAUACAUUUGGGAAAAGUCUGUACCAUGAGGUCAGAACAAACAAAUGUGAAGAAGCAUCCUGGAGAAAAUGGAGACUAUGCAAGAAAAGAGAAACCUAAGGGGCAAAAUGAAAUAAUCUAUCAUCAAUAGUGUUAGAAAAAAAAUAGUGAAAAAAAAGCUGAGAAUGCUAUGUAAAAGAAGAUACAGAGAACAAGAAGAAUGGUUAGAAGUCACGAUAGCAGAAGCUAUUUGAAGGAGAGUUUGGCAGAAAAAAUUGAGAAAAUUUUCUGGAGAGAAUAGUAAACUGAUGAAGAGUUGGAACAUGGGAAACAGGAAAGAUGAAAGAAUAUUAGGUGAUCAGUCUAGCUGAUCCAGCGUAUUAGGCAUUCUAGAAAAAGAGAUCAUAUAAAAUAAAGGGCAGGAAAUCAUAAAAAUAAUGUGGGAAAGUUUUCAAGAAGUCUUUUUUUAAAAUUAAUUUUUGUUCAUUUUCAUUGCAUUUGAAAGGCAGAGAGAGAGAGAAAGAGAGAGAGAGAGAAAUAGGGGUAUAGAUAUCUUCUACCUACUGAUUAAACAACCUGGUCCACACACCUGCAAUAGUGGGGCCUGCACCCAAGGCUUGGAGAAUGGAACCCAAUCCAGGUCUCCCAUGUGGAUGAUAGGGACUAAGUACUUGAGUCUCAUCAUAUGCUGCUUCCCUGGGUUUACAUUGAUAGGAAGCUCUAUCAGAAGUGGAGGAGCUUGAACUGAAACCAAGCACUCUGGUAUGGAAUGCAGUGUCCCAAGUAGUAGUCUAACUACUGUGGCCAGUGCUUGCCCAACAUUUUGCAGAAUUCUAAGACAUGAAUUUCCAAAUUAAGAGACCCACCAAGUUCCCAACAAAAGGAUGAAGACAGACUUAUUAAAGGCAUACUGUAAAAUUUAAAUAGAGAACACAAAGAAAAUCCUAAACCCUACAGAGAAGAAAACAGGUCACACAAAAAUGUUAUGGAGUCAAAAUGGUUUUGAACUUCACAACAGCAGUACAGGAAGCUAGAUUUAAAUGGAGCUUUGUCUUUAAAGUUCUGAUGGGGAAAGUGAUUACUCAUCUAUGUUUCCAUAUCUAGCUAUGAUACCCAGCAAGUGUGGAGGUAGAAUAAAAACGUUUUCAAUAUUGAAAGGCCUCAAAAAUUUACCUCCCAUGUAUCAAAGCUGGGCUAGGGGAGAGAUUAAAGGACAUAAAUAGUCCAAUAGAGAAGAGAUGCAAGUGGAACCCUAAGGCGAUGGUUAUGGAGGUCGUUGCUUGACACUGGAAUAAGUGGCAGAAAGGGCAGCCAGCAUAGCCUGGGGCAUUUGAGAAAGUUGAAAGGACAUAUUCUUUUUUUUUUUUUUAAAGUAAAAAUUUAUUUAUUUGAAAGGCAGAGUUAGAAAAGGGAGUGGAAGAUACUGAUCUUCUAUCCACUGGUUUACUCUGAAAUAGCCACAGUGGAAGGGGCUGAGUCCAGGAGAAACCAGGAGUCUGGGACUCCAUAUGAUUUUUCACAGGGGUGGCAGGUGCCCAAGCACUUUGGACAUUCUGUGCUGCUUUCCCAGGUGCAUUAGCAGGGAGCUGGAUCCCAAGUGGAACAGUUGGAACUUGAACUGCUGCUGAUAGGAUUGCUGACAUGUCAGGCAGCAGCAUAACUGACUUUUCCGUAGUGCCUACCCAAAAAGAGAUAUUUUUGAGACGAUGAAAGUGAUAGUACUGAGUGUGUUUGUGAGGAAAUUCAGAUAGCUGGGGAGAGUGUCUUAACAAAGUAAUGCUAAAUACACAGAAAACGAAGCAAACAUAAAGUUAAGAAAAUUAUUAACUCCGGAAAGCACAAGGUUGUGUAAGAAAGGAAAAGUUAUCAUAUAGCCUACAUGGUUUGGCUGUGAGUUACAAUUAUAUACUUAUAAUAAAUUAAUUUAAUCUAUUAAUUUAUCUAUGUUUUGGAAGAAGAGGUGAAUGGGCACUGUCUUCAGAUAUGUGGUGCUGCUGGAUUAUAUAUGUAAAAGAGAGUUAAAUCUUCAUCUUUUACAGUAGAAAAUCAACAUAGAAUUCUUAAAACUAAAUAAGCGAUGGGGCUGGUAUUGUGGCAUAAUGGGUUAAGCUACCACCUACAAUACCGGCAUCCCAUGUGGGUAUUGGUUUAAGUCACAGCUCCCUGGUAAUGCAACUGGGAAAGUGGCAAAGGAUGGCCCAAGUGCUUGGGCCCUUGCGCCCACAUGAAAGACCUAGAAGAAGCUCCUGGCUUCAGCCUGGCCCAGCCCUGGCCAUUGUGGCCAUUUGGGGAGUGAACCAGUAGAUCUCUAUUUCUCCCUCUCUCUCUCUAACUCUACCUUUCAAAUAAAUAAAAUAAAUAAAUAAAAAAAAAAACACUACAUAAGCGAACACAAAACAAAACCAAACCUCACACUAGCCAAAACAUAGAAACAACUCAAAUACCUAGUGACAUAUGAGUGGAUAAAUAAAAUACACUGUCUACAUACAAUGAAAUAUUCUUUAGCCUUAAGAAGGAAGGAAAUUUUGAUAUAUACUACAACGUGGAUGAACCUUAGAGGCAUUAUGCAAAGUAAACUAACAAGACACAAAAGGAGAAAUAUUAUAUGAGUCUACUUCUUGUAUGAGGUUCUUAAAAUGGUCAAAUUCAUGGAGACACAAAGUAGGGUGAUGUUUCCUGAGGGAUGGCAGAUAGUGACUUACUGUUUGAUUGUUAAAGAAUUUCACUUGGAGAUGAAACAGUUCUGUAGAUGCACAGUGGUAAUAAUUGUUGUAUAACAAUGUGAAUGUACGUAUUGCUACAGGACUGCACACUUAAAAUUGAUGAAUAUGAUAAAUUUUAUAUCAUGUGUUUUUUAUCACAAUAAUAAAACUACAAAAACAAGCAGUAGCACAUAGCAUUUUAUAGGGAGAUAGGUAAACAUCAAAAGAAUGACUGCCUCUGGUGAUUAGUAUUUGGGAGGAAAAAUAUGAUGGGGGAAAUUAUUUCUCAUAAUAAGACCCUAUAGAAUUAUUGGACUAUGUGUAACUGAACUGUGCAUAGAUUUGCAUCUAAAAUUUAGAAAAAAUAUAUUGAACAACAAAGAAAAGAAAUUUAAGUGGUUUUAUUUGGAAUAAUUGGUGGAUGGAUUGGAUAUGAAGUGGGAAAAAUUGCAUACCUCAGAGAGCAAAGGAAAAAUUCCCUUUAUUUAAGAAACCAUGUACAUUUGUCUAUGACAUUAUUGAUUUUCUUUUCUGUUUUAUGUAGAGAUAAUUGAAGAUUCAUUGCUGUAGCAAGAUGGGAUUGGAAUAAUGAGUAAGAUAUAAAGUUCAGUUAAUUCUCUGUUAAAUUAUUGGAGAAGAGAACAGAUAAAUGUUGAUAUAAUGGACAACACAGUAAAUCUUAUUCUUUGUAAUAAGAAAAAUCUUGAAAAAAAUCUUGAGGGUGAUGAUGAAGGCUGAAAAUUUGUAGUAAUCAGAGUGAUCCCUUUUCCUGGCCUUGGGUUCUUAUAAGUUAAAUGUUUACUUGUGUUGAGAAGAGGACACAUGUCCUUCAACACUUUUUUUUUGAUUGCAAAAUAAAUGUCAUGCUGCCUUACCCAUGCCACCGCUGGGGGCCCACACCCUUGUUUUAUAUCUGAGUACCUGUUCUGGUGAGUGAAUGAGUGGCCCCUGUGCUGCUGCUGGCUGAAAGAGGGAGUUAGAUCAGUGAAGGAUUAUUGUGCUCAUGGCUAGUCUUCAUAUGAUUGACUUGGCCUCAGAGUCUUGUGGGAGAGAGCCGAGGUUUUCAUUGUUAUUUCAUUGGGAAACUUAACUUUCUUUUAAACUUAAAGGAACAUGACCCAUACGAUAGUUAUUCUUGGGCGGUUGGUACAAUAACUGAACCUCAUUCCUUUACAGUUCUUUUGGAAUUUUUUACUGCCUCAAGUAUCAUGAAUAAAUACACUGCAGUAAUAUGGAAAUGAGAUUCAAUUUAUUGGACUCACUUUUGACUUUGACCUGAGAUUUUGUGGUGUAGACUUUAGAUUUGAGUUAUGAGUUGAAAUGAAUUAAACUUGUUGACGUAAGUAGGAUGCUGUCUGGCUUGUUUUUAGCAUAUAGUUUAAUCUGUGAAAUGUGUAAGAAUAUUAAAUAGUUACUCAAAAUAAUGUCUUAAGUAUAAUAUGUGAAUAUAAUACAUAGGAUACCAAAUAAUCACAAGUCAUUAUCAGCUAAAGUCUACAUCUGGUUGGGCACUGUCUGUCUGCUUUGCUAAAAGACAAAUAGAAACAAGAUGUAUUUUUAUAGAUAAUCAUUGGAAUGAACUGUCAAAGCUUAUAUUUGUUAAUGGUCAUCUUCCUCUCUCAUUAUUAGUCUGAAAGUUUUUUUUAUGUUACAUUUACUCAUAAAGUUACUGUAUUACUUUACUUGGGUAAGGAUGGUGUUUUCUCAAGUCAGAUGUAACAGCUGCAUGAUUGAAAUAUAGGGUAAAUAUUUUUUUAAAAUCCCUUUCUUCAUUGUUUUCUACCACUUUACAUGGUUAGCCUGUCUGUUUAUUUAUUUAUGAGACAGAAAGAGAGAGACAGAGGAAAAAAGAGAUGUAUCUUCUAUCUCCUGGUUCAUUCUCUAAAUACCCAUAACAGUUGGGAUUGGGCAAGGUUGAAGCCCAGAACUCAAAUCAGUGUCUCCCUCAUGGGUGACAGGGUCCCCUAACUACUUGAACCAUCACCUGCUGCCUCCCAUAGUGCACAAGCAGGAACCUGGAAUUGAAAGCAGAAUUGAGACAUAUCAGUUUGGGAUAGGCAUUCCAAAUGGCAUCUUAACUGCUGUUCCAAAUGUACAUUUCAUUAGUUUUUAAAAAUUUUCUUCUUUUUUACCUCUUUCCUUUUUCCCUUCUUUCUUUUUUCUUUUCCUUCUCUUUUUCCUCCCUCUAUCUUAGUUUUAGAGUUCAAGAUGUGAGGAUUCAGCUUUUUAAGUACUCAAACAUGAUGUAAGAUCUAAAAUCAUAAUAAAAUUUAAAUCAAAUUUGAGAACCAUGGAAUCUGCAAUAUAUAUAUAUUAUAUUUGUAUAAUAUAUUUGUAUAAUAUAUUAUAUUUGUAUAAUAUAUAUAUUAGGAGUAUAAACAACUGCUAAAAACAAUAAUCAAAUCACAAGAUAUCUGUUUUAUUCCUACUUUUUUUGGUAUUCUAUAUUAACUACUACAUAUCAGAGAAAACAUGAUAUUUUUCUUUUUGGACUGGAUAUUUCUCUAAGCGUAAUGGUUUCAAAAUGCUUGCAUUUUGUUGCAAAAGACAGAUUUCAUUCUUUUUUUGGCUGAGUAGUGUUCCAUAGUGUAUAUAUAAUCACAUUUUCUUUAUCCAGUCAUUGGAUGAUGGACAUCUGGGUUGAUUCCAUAUCUCAGCUACAGUGAAUUUAGUUGUAAUAUAGAUGAUGGUGUAGAUAACUCUUUCAUAUGCUGAUUUCAUUUCUUCUGGGUAUAUUCCCAGGAGUAGGAUUGUUAGGUAAUAUGGUAGAUCUAUUUUCAGAUUUCUGAGGAAUCACCAUACUUUCUCCAGUAGUUUAUAUUUCCACCAGCAGUGUUUUAGGGUACCUUUUUCCCCACAAGAUUUUGCUAAAAAUCUUUAUAAAACCUUUUUAUUUAUAAAAAGUGAACAAAUUUCAUAUAGUAUACAUAUGAACAUAUAUACUGUACAUGAAUUUAUUUACCAGUAUGAAAUUUAACAGUAUAGUGAUAUUUCACAUAUUUAGCAGUAAGAUGAUACUUCACACCCUACCCUCCCACCACUUUUCUUUUUCAUUUUUUCUUUCAAUUUUUACACUGAUGUACUAGAUUUUUUUUGUUUGUUUGUUUGUUUUUUUUGGACAGGCAGAGUGGAUAGUGAGAGAGAGAGAGAGAGAGAGAGACACAGAAGAGAAAGGUCUUCCUUUUUGCUGUUGGUUCACCCUCCAAUGGCCGCCACGGCUGGCAUGCUGCAGCCGGCGCACCGUGCUGAUCCGAAGGCAGGAGCCAGGUGCUUCUCCUGGUCUCCCAUGGGGUGCAGGGCCCAAGCACUUGGGCCAUCCUCCACUGCCUUCCCUGGCCACAGCAGAGAGCUGGCCUGGAAGAAGGGCAACCAGGACAGAAUCCGGCGCCCCGACUGGGACUAGAACCUGGUGUGCCAGCACUGCUAGGUGGAGGAUUAGCCUAUUGAGCCUCGGUGCCGGCUAGAUUGUUUGUUUUAUUGUUGAUUUUCUUGAGCUCCAUAUAAAUCCUGGGUGUUAAUCCUUUUUCAGAUGCGUGGUUUGCAAAUAUUUUUUCCCAUUUUGUUGGUUGCACCUUCACUUUGUUGAGUGUUUCCUUUGCUGUUCAGAAGCUUCUUAGGUUUUAUGUAAUCUCAUUUGUCUUGCUUUUAGUGCCUGUUCUUCUGAUCUUCAUUUGGGAUAACUUAGUUUUUGAUUGUCUGAUACCAAGUGUUCACUUCUCCACGUUUUUAUUAAAGUUACAAUUAUAUUUUUAUGAGUAUUUUAAAACAAACUGGUUUUAGAGAGUAUAAAUGUUUUGAGGGGAAGAUUUCUUUAUGAAACCCUAAAAGAUUUUUCUUACUAUUUUCAGGCCUUAAUGUUAAGAAAUGUAUUUUUUUUUAAGUAUAUUUGCAACAGUGGCUUUAAUAUCAGUGAGAAACCAAACUUUAGAUCUUACAACAAUAAAUUUAGACCACAGAAAUUAGCAACACCCAAAUGGGUCUUUCUGGUCUGCUGUUGAAAAUUUGACUUUGGGACCUUAGUGUUUCUACAGUCUCCUCAAAUAACCUUACUAUGCAUCUGGUGAUUAUUUUUCUAGUAGUAGAUUUUACUCUGGGCUUAGUAUUUUUUUUUUUUUUUUACUUCCUUCCAUCCUGGUAUUUUUGAUAUGAACAGUUCAGUUUACUGGUGGGCUAUAGUUUCUUUCCAGUGACUGCAGAUCUCUGCCAUGUGUGCAGAAUGUAGCAAAGCCAAGUUUGAGGUUUGGGUCCAGAGCUUUCCAAAGAUCCCUAUGGUGUGCCCUCUGACCUGGGAGAUGGCUCUUACUGAUGCUGGAGAAACCCAGUUGAGAAUUCCUAGGAUUGUUGUGCUAUCAGCAAGCGCUUUAAUCUUGUCCUCUUCCAGAUGUUUUCUUUCCUGAGCAUGAAAACACCAUCAAAAUAAUGCUAAGGGAACUGAUAUGUGAGGAAGUAAAAGUAAAGGAAAAAGAAGAAAUAUUCACCAUCUUCACGAAUGCCAGAACAGUGGACUAUGGAUAAUGUAAAAGAGGAAUCUUGUAUUUUUUCAUAUCCUUCUAGAUUUCCUUGAGAAAAGUUUUAGCAGGUGACCCUAAAAUAGUUUCUUAAAAAAAUUAGUUACAGUAAAAUUCGCUUUUUUUCUUUUUGUUUUGGUGUAAAUGAACUUUAAAAUAUGCAUAGAUUCAUGUGACCACUAGUGCAAACAUGUUACAGAAGAAUUGUAUCACUUCCUAAGAUUCCCCUUGUGAUUUGUUUCAACCUUUCCCUCCAUCCAUAUUCCAUGACAAGCACUGAUCUUGGUCUGCCACACUGCUGUUUUACUUUUUCCUGAAUAUCAUACAAAUUCAAUAUUGUGAGGUGAUGGAGUUUGUAUUGUUUAUGGGGUGACUUCUCAACUCUGCAUUUUUUCAGCUUGUGGAACUAUAUAUCCAAAUGUAAAUUUUACUGCAUGUAAAUUAAGGUUUCCAUUACCUUGUAGGUCUGAUAAUAAAGGAUCAUGUUGGAAUAUAUGAAGAUGCAUAUGUAUUUUAAUGAUUUUUUGAACUAUGCAGUUUUACAAUGUCAUUGCUAUGUUCCCAUGUGUUUAUAUGUUUCAUUUCCUUGUGUGUGAAUUUCUAUCUUGUUUAUCAUGGAGAACUUAUUUUCUAUAAAUAUUAGCACUCUUUAUAUAAUAGAGACUCUUGCUUUGUCUUUUGAGGUAAAUAGUUUGGGGUGUUUUUUAUUUUUAAAUGUAAUUUUCUUCAAACACUUAAAAAUUUAUGAAGUCAUAUCUAUUGAUCUUUUAUAAAUUCUUCUUUCUGUUUCCCAAGGAAACAUAAGCACAUACUUUUUAUCUUUUUUUAUUUUAUUUAUUUAUUUAUUUAUUUAUUUAUUUUUUGACAGGCAGAGUGGACAGUGAGAGAGAGAGAGAGAGAGACAGAGAGAAAGGUCUUCCUUUUUGCUGUUGGUUCACCCUCCAAUGGCCGCCACGGCUGGCGCGCUGCAGCCGGCGCACCGCGCUGAUCCAAUGGCAGGAGCCAGGUGCUUCUCCUGGUCUCCCAUGGGGUGCAGGGCCCAAGCACUUGGGCCAUCCUCCACUGCACUCCCUGGCCACAGCAGAGGGCUGGCCUGGAAGAGGGGCAACCGGGACAGGAUCCGAUGCCCCGACCGGGACUAGAACCCAGUGUGCCGGCGCCGGUAGGCGGAGGAUUAGCCUAUUGAGCCGCGGCGCCGGCCUUUUUAUUUUUAACCUUUCAAUAACUUUUAUUCUAUUCCUUUCUUUCUUUAUCUGCUGUAUGUUUCUUCUCCUCCCUCAACUUAAAAUUUCUUUCUAUGAAUCCUGAUUAGCUCACUUGUUCAUUCAUGAAAUAUAUAUUGAGAUUGUAUGAUAUGUAAAGUACUGUGGUAUGUAUGAUGGUAUUCAAACCUAACAGACCUGUCCUAAAGGAGAUUUCUACUCUAGUGAGAAAUGAAAAAUAUGCACAAGUAUUAGGAAUCCCAGGUAGAAAAGAAAUUCCAUGGUGCAAAUAUGGAGGACUUGCUAGGAGAAUUUAGAGGAAUGAGAAGUCCCUUGCAGUUGUAUGAGAUGCUCUAAUUUAAUGAUAAGGUGGUGUUUGAAUUGAAUUUGGAUAUAUGCUGUUAAAAGUUACUAGUGUUUCAUAACAUUAUAUCACAAAACUUAGCAGCUAAAAACAGCAGCCAUCUUAAUUAUGGUUAUAAAUUCUGUGGUUCAGGAGUUUGGUUAGGGCGCAGUGAAAGUGGCUUUUUUUUUGCCUUAAAUUUCCAGGAUCUCAGCUGGGAUGACUCUGAGACUAGUAGUGGUUUAGGGACUGGACUGCAAUCUUCUCAGCCAAAAGGCUGAGAAGCGAUGGAGGUUUCUUCACUCAUAAGUCUAGCACCUUCCUUGGAAUGAUUUGAAUACAAGAUUUUCUGUAUUGAGUGCUUAUAUGUGAAUGUGUGACUUUUUGUCACACAUUGAUGACUCAGUGUUUUUGAACUUCCUAAGUGCCCCAGGCACAAUGUGGAGGCCACAUCACUUUAUUUAACCUAGCCAUGGAAGUCACAUUGUGUUGGUUAAAGUUAAAGACAAGCCAGCUCUAGUCAAGAUAGGGGCCACGGACACCCAUCUCUGAUAGUGUUGAGUGUCAAAGAAUUCUGAAGCUUUUAAAAAUCUAUCCCACAGGCCAUAGUCUGAAUAUCUUCCCAGCCUAAGAGAAUAAUGUAAUUUUAGCAAAAUACACAAAAGUGAAAAUCUCUGCAAUAACUUUGAGAGUUUCAGCUCUUGGUAGUUAACCAAAAAAAAGUAAGGUAAGGUAACUUUCUGAAUAAACAGUUAUACUGCUUGUUCCUCUCCUCCCUGCUAAUCUGUCCUGCCAUGAUGUUUUCAGACACCCACAGACAUGGGGAUGCAUACACACACAUAUACACACACAGGGUCCUUCAGGUGUUCUGUGGUUGAAUGACUCUGGGAAACAUUUCAUUAGAAAGUUUUCUUCCUUCAAAAAUUUGUUCACAAGUGCUUGUUGUGAAUAUCAUGCGUAUCUGUCUGCCUUAUUUAGUGGUUUCCUAAAUAAUUACUCAGGAAGGAUAUAUCCACAUAGGGAGAAGCUCUGGGCCAAUAUUGUAAAAUAUUUUAUGUUCAAACAAUAAGUACGUAGUAUAUUUUCUGGAUAACUUAUAAUUUUUAUUCUUCUUGCCUGUUGGAGUUUGGCUUAUUUUCUCUGGUGUUGAUCAUGAAGUGAAACAGGAAUAUAGGCUGGGGGAAGCACAUUCAACAGAUAAUGGAGACUAUCGAAAACAUUAAUGGAUUAUUGCUAGGUUGCUUGCUGAUUAGAAUGUAUAAAUUUUCUUAAUUUCUUUUGUUUAAGAUCUCAACAAUUGAAGAAAACCUAAGUAAAAACACAAAAAAUUACAUUUGUGUGAUUGAAAAUUGAUGGGUGGUCAUAUAAAUUUUCCCUUUGUAUAGUUUAUGUGAUUUUAAGCUUUAGAGACUUUCUGAACCAGGUGAUUGGGAUGGAUUCUUUGUUUCCUCAUUAGAAGGUGAAUGGAUAAAUGACUGAAUCAAGAUGACUAUGGAUGGGAAGUAGUGAGAUUAUUAAAAUUGAAUUUUUCAUUUAUGAAUACCUUUGUGAGAGGCUGCUGAACAUGGCAAUGUCACGAGUUUAUACUGUGAGUUUUAAGUUUUCAACUGACCAGGAUUUAUUUUUUUGAAAGCUUGCAAAACAUUUUGUUCUGUUGAUAAGUUCAGGUUAGUUUACCUUUUCUUUCCUUUUUUUUUUUUUUUUUUAAAGAUUUAUUUAUUUAUUUGAAAGGCAGAGAGACAGAGAUAUCUUUCAUCUGCAGAUUCACUCCUCCAAUGGUCACAGUGGCUGGAGCCGGACUGACCUGAAGCCAGGAGCUUCAUCUGGGUCUCCCAUGUGGGUACAAGGGCCCAAGGAGUUGGGCCAUCUUCUGCUGCUUUCCUAGGUGCAUUAGCAGGGAGCUGGAUUGAAGUAGAACAGCUGGAACUCGAACUGCCUCCCAUAUGGGAUGCCAGUGUUGCAGGUGGUGGAUUUACCUGCUAUGCCACAGCACCUGCCUCUACUUUAUCUCUCUGACAACACUUUUAAAAUUGCACAUCUGUAGCAAAUUUAGAACAGUUUCAGUUAUUACUUAUGCGUAUGUGUUUAUGCGUGUAUGUUUGUAUACACAGUAGAGAACAUUUUGUGUAGGUUAGGGCAGUUGUUUUGGUGGGAAAGAAAAGGCUUUGUCAGGUUGAGCACCUACUUUCAUGUGUGUGUGUGUGUAUGUGUGUGUAUUUGGUUAAAUUCAGAAGUCAGCCAACUACUGAGGUUUCUUGAGUGUGGUUAGCCACUAAAACAGAACAGUGAUAAUGGAUCUUUAUAUUACUUUUUAAGUAUUUGGCAGUUUUUCAAAAUUGAGAAAAUAUUGUUUUAGAAAUCAGAGUGCCCUUUCAUGGGAGUUGAUUACCCUAUAUACUAGUGAGAGAUUAAUGAGAUUGAAGGAAGUAGAGAAUUUGAAAGUCCUUGUUUUACAGACAGUGUUUCAAUGCUAUGGGUAUGUGUUCUGUGCUGUGGCACACAAAAUGAAGAAUGGGGACUUUAAGUCCCAAGGGACCCACUAGCAGAAUACCAGGUGAUCAAAGGGGAUCAGGUGCUGAUGUUUGGAGGAGGGGAAUGUAUGACCAGGAUAAAUCCCCAAAAGUAGAACUAAAGAUGGUAAGUGUUACCUGGCCAUUUCUUGAGGACAUAUGUCUGAAUUGCUUUCAUUUUUUUGUGCCCAUAGAACCUAGUGCAUUGCCUUCUACAAUCUAGGAAUUCAGAGAAUUUUUGUUGCACACACAUAUGCCUUUCCCCAUCCCCACUCCCUCUUUUGGUUGAGCAUCCAUGCACUUAAUGACAGAGCUUCUGCAUAGACAUUAAAACAAGCAAAUGCCAAAAAAUAAUACAGCCUGCUUCCUACCAGAAUGACUUCAGCCCUUCUUAGGCUGCUAAACAUAUGGAUAUCCCAGCUGCUCUGAUGAAGAAGGCUGUGGCCUAACUGGGCGUGUGUGCUGUUUGAUGUUCUUGGUAGGUAUUCAAGCAGAAUUUGAUCUCUUACCAGUGGAGGAGGGAGCUAUCUAUAGCAGUAGUUCCAGAACAUUUUGGAGACAGAAACCUUUCAAGAAUCUAAUGAAAGUCAUGAGCCUUUUCCUUAUAGAAAAAUUAGUAUUAAUUUUCAUAACACUGAAAAAGAUUCAGAUACUUUCUGAUAUAUUUCAAAUUACAUAAACCUUGUGUAUAUAUAUCUGGAUUCUUAAGGUCCAGAAUUAGUGUCAGUGGUGUAUCCUGGGCUACUCCUUUUCUAGUUUCUUCAUGAUUUGUGAAGAACGUAUAGCAGAACAGGUUGAUAAAGUUUUAACCACAUAAGAGUUUAAUUUCAUACCUUUAGUGAGAAAUGGAUGUUAUCGUCAUUAACACAUUGAUACAUAGGUUGGAGAUACUGGUAUGCUUUUCUUAGUAGCCACGUUUAGGUAGGGUAUAGAAAAUAAGUUGACCAUUAUUACAUUUCCUACUUUGGAAACUACCAAUCCAGUUGAUUAGAAUAGUUAAGUGCCCUAAGUCUGUGUGUACUGCUAGAGCCGUUAGCAUCAUCUCCGAUCAGUUGGAGUCAGCGUGACACUCUUCCCACUGUGAUGUACCAUGUCUUAGAGCCCUGCUCCAUGUAGCGGUCUAGGCCAGCCUUCACAAAUAGGUCAUAAAUGGCACAUGGGAUAAAAUGUGUUCAUUAUUCUGGUUAUAAGAGAUUAACUUUAUUUGUUGAAGAGGUAGAGUGUUCAUAUAUUCUAGUAUAGGCAUUUUAGGAAACAUCUUAUUAGCAGUCGUGUGUGUGUGUGUGUGUGUGUAUUUGGAUUUGUGUGAGGCAGCUGGGGGAGUCUGGCCUUCCAUCAUUGCUUCAGUGAUUUUUCUUUUCUUCUAUAAAAAAAUUAUCAUUGGCAACUUUCCUUUGGUUUUUAUGUUAAAUGAAAAAGUUCAAGAAUAUUUUCAUAGAUUUUUGACUUAUGCUUAUGAUGGGAAUGGAAAACAUACUCUCCACCCCCACCCCCACCCCACCCCCUCAGUAUAUAAGGUUUACUUUAAUUCUCAUCUCUGCAAAGUCCAAUUCACAGCUGGAGUUUCUUUUAGUGGGAAUUUCCUGAUUUGAAUUCCUUAGCUUUUCCUACAUGAUUUACCUAUUGUGUUGCAGGACAUUUUUGCUCUUACUAGGUUUACUACUUGAAAAGCCUUACUAAACUUCUGGUGUACUCACAGGUACUACUCUUAUAGCUAUGCUUUUCUGUGUCCUGGUGAUUAAAAAGGAUGCUUCUUCCAUGCAGCCAGCAGGAUUAACAGAUGGCCAUAUUGAACCCCAAAGCAUCUAGGCUUCUUUCCUGCUUUAACCCCAUAACCUCUCCCUUGGUUGGCAAUGUGCUGGUGUUGACAGUUCUCUUAGUUCAGCCAAAGGUGAAAGAUAAUUGCUUGUGGAGUAGCGGCUGGGAUGGUAUGUGUUUUUGCAGCAAGCAUCCCCACCCCCGCCCCCAGGCAGAGCUUUGGAUCUGGUGCAUAUUUCAAAGCAUGUGUUAAACUUUAUAUGAUACUGAUUAAAAUGGAGGGCUCCAGGGUGAAUUGGCAGAGCCCCACCACUGCAUCUGCCAAAUGACAUACAGAGAAAUGUCUUGUUACAAACGGAAGGGCUGAAAUCUAUCUAUUUUAGCAAUAUGUAAGCCCACAAAAUGAAAGGAGACUCUGAGCAUGUGUGUAUACACAGCCUGGGAGCAUCCAGGAUUCGUUAACAAUUCCUUUGUCUCUGUGACAUUUUUCUUCUCCUUUAACCAACAACAGCAAAGUCCAUGUGUGAAUAAUAGUUUGCAUUACCAUGUCCUAUAGGCCUCCAUUCCCAAUGAACAUUUGUUUAAAAACCCAAGUUGGACCAAACAUGGAGUAGCCAGAAUUGUGGGUCUUUAAGAUGAGAUCUAUGAAGUUAAUUCUUAAAGGAAGCAAACUCUUGGCCAGCGCCGCGGCUCACUAGGCUAAUCAUCCGCCUUGCGGCGCCGGCACACCAGGUUCUAGUCCCGGUCGGGGCGCCGGAUUCUGUCCCGGUUGCCCCCCUUCCAGGCCAGCUCUCUGCUGUGGCCAGGGAGUGCAGUGGAGGAUGGCCCAAGUGCUUGGGCCCUGCACCCCAUGGGAGACCAGGAGAGGUACCUGGCUCCUUGCCUUUGGAUCAGCGUGGUGCGCCGGCCGCAGCGCGCUGGUCGCGGCGGCCAUUGGAGGGUGAACCAACAGCAAAGGAAGACCUUUCUGUCUCUCUCUCUCACUGUCCACUCUGCCUGUCAAAAAAAAAAAAAAAAGAAGCAAACUCUUUACAACGCAGAUGUUUAUUUCCAGAGCUUUUAGGUUCCAGCAUUCUUCAUGACCUUUUAGAAAGAAGUAUGCGCUUAUAUCCUAGUAUGGAUCAACACUUUAUCAUAGGCAACAUUAAUAUCUCAGGGUUACAUUUCCUUAGACAUCUUGUCCGCUUUUAUGACUGGGUUAAGAUAAAGAAGCCAUCAAGUCUAAAUGUGACACUAAUAUUUUGUUAGGAAAGCAGAGAGGAUAAGCAAUGUAGAAGAGUAAGAAGGAUGAGUAGCACCAAAACCAAAACCAAAACCAAAAUAAACAAAUCCAAGUUUAAGAUAUUGGUGGAAAGAGGAGGAUGAAAAGAGAUGUAAGCGAGACUUAUGAAUCAUGGGUGAAUAGAGAGAGCAGGCAUAAGAUUAGAGUUUACAGAAUGGAUAGUGAGUUCUAAAUACUCACACUAAGCAGCCACAGUUAUAUUGAUUUAUACACUUAAAUAACUCCAUAAAACACGUAUGCAUUUCAUCACAUUCUCGGCUUCAGGAUCUCUUUUUCCAGAUACUGAAGAAUGUUUUGAUUCUGUGCGUUGUUCUUUUAUUUUUCUGAAUGGCUCAUAAGAUGGCUUUGAGAACUUAUUAUAGGACUUUGUUGUCAUUUAGGUUAAACUUGAGCUGACAAGGCAUAACUUGAACAACCUCACAGGCAAAAAAAAAAAAAGCACUACAGUAAAGGUAGCAGAUCUUGGAUUGGGAAGGCAUAUACAUUUUAUUGUUUAGAACUUGCUUUUAAACUCUAAAAACUUGUGAGAUUUGCAUAUAGGGUUAUAUUCCAGUAAUACAGGUGAGAUGAUCUGAGUCUAUUUUGCUUUUAAGUGUUAGUUGUAUCCUGUUUCUUUUGUUAACUUUUUGCUGCUGCUCCUCCCUGUCCUGUCUUCCCUCUUUCCCCCAGCACUCCUUCUUCUCCUCUUCUUCCUUCUUUAGACUUUUGAAAUGGGGACAGGGAUUAUGCAGGGAAUUGAGAGACAAAAUGCUUGUUAUUAACCUCCCUUUUUGGAACUUUUAUUGAAUUUCAUCUUUAUUUUCCUCUGUAUUAAAGCUUAAUGCUCCAGUCAUUAAGAUACUUACUUCUAAAGCAUAUUUUUGACUUAAACUUUUUAAAAGGAUAGUUUAGAGUAGGGAGAGUUGAUAAUCUGUUUUUCUUUCUCUUAGAGUCCCAGUUGGGUUAAAUAGGACUUGCCCUGAGGAUGUUAGUAUUGACUUCAUGUAAAAGAAGUUUGAAACCUAAGAUUCCACUUAGUUUCCUCUCCUGGGCUUUUAGAAUAUUUUGCACAGAGAGAAAAAUGCAACUGGAAUGUAGUCAGCCACUAAAUCCUAUUGAAUGCCACUUCUUAAGAAUUGCCUUAGAGUUUCAAGUGGGUCAGUUACUAAAUGGAAGCUUCCUUGGAUGUGAAGCAGUCUUAAUUCAUAAAGAAUACUGUGAAAAAGGAAGAGGAAGGUUGUGCACCCUUUUUUGUGUAGUUAAAGUUCUAAAAGAGAAGCAGGAAUAACAGGAAAUUUGGAGCUUGUCUAUAAUCACAUAUUAUGUGAUUAUGUAAAACUUUAUGUGUAAAGAUUCAUCCUUGUGUACUAAUCUCUCUGAAUCUGAUGUCAAGAUUAAUUGACUCUCUUGAGGGUUUAUGCUUAUUUCAAUCAACAAAUUCCAUUGAGUGUAUGUUAAAACAAGUGUCUAUACAGUGUAUCAGGUUGUGUUAUUUUCUAUGAAGAAAAAAAAUGAAGGAUGAAAGGUUUCAUGGUUAUUUGGGAUUGAGUAAGGUGAUCAGUCCUUUAGUGUUUGUUUACUAGACACUUAAAUAUUAAAAUUCUGAUAUUUUCAUGAUUCAUUGUCUCUUAACAUUUAAAACUUUGAUUCUGUUGAAUUUUAGCUCUCUUUGACUGGCAGCACUUAAUACUUUUUCCUCUUAGAUAGAGCAGAUUCUGAGUAUAAAUAACCGUUUAUAGCAAAUGGGCGUACAAUUUUGUAUUUGCCCCUGGUAUUUUUUGCAGUAUCUUGUGCUGGUAUAAAGCUAAACACAGCAAUAGAUUACCAAAUAAUAUUGUUUUAUCUUCCCUUUUGUUAAAGGAGAAGUACUUGGAGCUUCACAAUUAAAGAAGUUUGUGUGUAUUAUAAAUUUAUAUAUUAAGCCAAAACCAGAUUUGGAUGCUUUUCCUAUUUUUGUUGCAGUGGGCUUCCUAAGGUUAUUCAUUGUUAGAUUUGUAGACAUACUUGUAUUCUCUUCAAUUUCGAAGUUGGAAAGUUUGAACUCCAAUCAGGGCUUUGGUAUAAACUUGAAUUUUGAAUGUUUUCCUUUUAUAAGAAGGUUUUUGAAAUAGUUUUGGUAGAUCCCUGGAAGUGUUUUCAGAUUUUAUUCUUAUAUGUAUGUGUAUGUGCAUUAUCUUGGUUUAUAACUCUCAUGGCCUCUCUAAGCAGACUACUCAGCAUUCAAGGUUUAGUCAGAGUUCCUCACUUUCCAUAGUUGGAUGAAGUCAAAUCCGUAAAUAGGAGUGUUAUCUUUGUGUUUCAUGCUGGAGUUUGAAGUCUAUAGGAAGGUGGUCAGGCAUGAGUAGUAGAUUUAAAAUAGGCAGGCUAGAACCCUAGCAUGAGCUGAAACCCAGGAAGGAUGGGCUGGAACCAUGUAAUAAUUGUUGCCCCUGGCCUUGACCAUGUAUCCUCAGAAGCUGAUGCACUUCAUCAUGGAACUAAACACGCACAUGACAUAAGAGAAGCUGAAAGGGGAUCCAUGAGAAGUUAGAGUAAUUGCAAGUCUGAUGCUGCCCCAUGCUGUCAAACUGAAUCAGCAGAUAAAAUGCAUUAUGUGAGAGGCACAAAAUGGCUUUUGCUUCAUUUUCACUUUUUUUUUUUUUUUUUUUGACAGGCAGAAUGGACAGUGAGAGAGAGAGACAGAGAGAAAGGUCUUCCUUUUUCUGUUGGCUCACCCCCCAAUGGCCACUGUGGCCGGCGCACCACGCUGAUCGGAAGCCAGGAGCCAGGUGCUUCUCCUGGUCUCCCACGCGGGUGCAGGGCCCAAGCACUUGGGCCAUCCUCCACUGCACUCCCAGGCCACAGCAGAGAGCUGGACUGGAAGAGGAGCAACCGGGACAGAACGGCGCUCCGACUGGGACUAGAACUCGGUGUGCUGGCGCCGCAGGAGGAGGAUUAGCCUAUUGAGCUGCAGUGCCGGCCCAUUUUCACUUUCUAAAUCUUACACAGGAAUGUCUUUUGUGUCCUACCCUACUUAGAAAUUUAUAGAACAGGGAAUUCUGGGAAAUGUAGUUUGAUAUAUCCAAGUCUACACAUUACAAAUAUAUGUGUGUGUAUGAGUCCAAGACUUGAUAGCUGGGGUUAAAUGUAUAGACUGGUUGGACCACCUGUUCUUACAGAAAUAGUUUAAUUGGAACACAGUGUUUCUCAUUUGUUUACAUGUUGUGUAGUUUUUUGCUACCAACACUGAAUUGAAUAGUUGCACUAGUAGCUGUCUAGCAUACAAAACUUAAAGUAUUUACUAUUUGACCUUUUAAGAGCAAGUUUGCUGACCUUGGUCUGCAGGAACUAAGAGAUUCUAUAACUCCCAGAGCAAGGGUAUCUAGAAACACUUCUCAGAAUCUCCAGAACAUUGUAUUUAUCCCAAAGAAGUUUUGCUAGUUUAUAUUUCCUUUUUAUAAGCAUUCUUGUUAAAAUUUUUUCUUUCUUUAUGCAUAUUUUUGUUUUUGUGGUAUUGAUCAGAAAUAGGAUGAAAGUUAUAUAUAAAAAUAUUGAUUAAUCUAUUCAACUGCAUAUUCAUCAUGUUUUUUCCUAUAAGCUUUAUUAUCUAACUAUGUUGUAUUUUUUUCCUUUAAAUUUUGAUUCCUCAGCUUAUCAUUAUAGUUGUUAAGAUGUGCUAAUAUCCUAGGGUUGCUAUGAUAAAGUUUACUGCAAACCAGGUGGCUUAAACCACAGCAACAAAAAAUACUUAGAAGUUUACUCCUCCACAGAUCUGGAAUCCAGAAGUCUGAUAUCAAGGUGUGGUGGUAGGCAGGGUUGAGUCCUUCUGGGCUCAGAGGUAGAAUGUUCCAUGGCUGCCUUGCUUUUGCCUGCAAUCUUUGGUAUUCCUUGGUUUGUGGCAGCAUAACUCUAACCUCUGCCUUCUUUGUUACAUAGUGUUCUCUCUGUGUGUUGUCUGCAUUUGUCCUUUUCUUUCUUUCUUUUUUUCCUUUAAAGAUUUAUUUAUUUAUUUGAAAGGCAGAGUUACAGAGAGGCAGAGAGAGAGAGCGUGCAAGGUCUUCCAUCCACUGGUUCUUUUUUUUUUUUUUUUAAAGAUUUAUUUAUUUAUUUGAAAGGCAGAGUUACAGAGACACAGAGGCUUAGGGCCGGCUCUGUGGUGUAGUGGGUAAAGCUGCCAUCUGCAGUGCCAGCAUCCCAUAUGGGUGCCCUUUUGAGACCCAGCUGCUCCACUUCCUAUUCAGCUAUCUGCUAUGGCCUGGGAGAGCAGUAGAAGAUGGCCCAAGCCCUUGGGCUCCUUUAACUGCCUGGGAGAACUGGAGGAAGUUCCUGGCUCCUGGCUUUGGAUAGGCGCAGCUCUGGCCAUUGCGGCCAAUUGGGGAGUGAACCAGCAGAUGAAAGACCUCUCUCUCUCUCUCUCUCUCUCUCUCUCUGUGUGUGUGUGUGUGUGUAACUCUGACUUUCAAGUAAAAUAACUAAAUCAUAGAGAGAGAGAGAGAGAGAGAGAGAGAGAGACAGGCAGAAGGCAGAAGCAGAGAGAGAGAGAGUUCUUCCAUUCACCGGUUCACUCCCCAAAUGGCCCCAACUGUCAGAGCUGGACUGAUCCAAAACCAUGAGCCAGGAGCUUCUUCUGAGUCUCCUACAUGGGUGCAGGGGCCCAAGCACUUGUGCCAUCUUCUACUGUUUUCCUAGGCCAUAGCGGAGAGCUGAAUCGGAAGUGGAGCAGCCAGGUCUCAAACUGGUGCCCAUUUGGGAUGCUGGCACUGCAGGUGGACAUAGCUCGGGGCCUGUUCUUCUUUUCUAAGGAUACCAGUUAUGUUGGAUUCAUGCCCACUCUGAUGACUUCAUAUUAACUUGAUUAUAUCUACAAAGAUCCUAACUCCAAAUAGGGUCACAUUCACAGAUAUUGGGAAUUAGGGCUUCAACAUGUUUUUUGGGGGGACACAAUUUAAAUCUUUGCACUAGAAUUUAUAUUUACUGAACACCAUAUAUGACUUUCUUAGCAGCUUUCUCUAAGCUGUGCCAUAUUUUUUGUGCCACACAAAAAAAUGUGGGAAUGAUCCCUAAGCAUCCCAAGUAUCUGAAGCAUAAGUGUGUACUUCAUGAAAAAUGAAUUGAACAGAUAUAACAGAUUCUAUAUUUAGAAAUUAAGACUAACAUUGUAUAUAUAGUUUUCACAUGUUUAGAUGGACUAAUAUAUGAUUUAUUACUAGUUUUUCCUACAAGGGUACUAAACUGCUGUUGAUAAGUCAGUAGUAGUUAGUGACAUUUUUAGUAUGGCUGUUAUAAACAAGGAGCUGUCUUAGGUGUCAAGAUAUUCAAUGGAUAGAAUCCCUUUUUAGGAAAGGUAAAUUUACAUAUUUAUUUAUUUUUAAAAUGAACAUUGAGUUCUUUAAAAAUACUUUAAAAUUUGUCUUCAUUUUAUUUGCAAAGCAGAGAUAGAGAUAGGGAUGGAGGGGAGAAAGGAAGGAAAGGAGGGAGAGAGAGAAGUGAACAGAUGGGGAGGGGAGACAAGAGACAGAGACCUUCUAUCUCCUGGUUUACCCUUCACAUGUCUGUAACAGUCAAGGCUGGGCCAGGCAGAAACCAGGAUUCUGGAACUCCAUCUGCAUCUGUCACACGGGUGGCCAUCAUCUGCUUCCUCCAAGAAUGUGCAUCAGCAGGAAACGGAUUGGAAGUAGAGUAGCUGGGUCUUGAACCAGGUACCCCGAUAUGGGAUAAAGCAUCCCAAGCAGUAAGAUGCUAUCCCAAAUGUCUACCCCUGAAUUGACAUAUGAUUAACUGAUAUUAUAAAUAUUAGGGAACUUGGAAUAAAGGAGUAAUUAGUGUAGUUUAGCUUAGAAAGUAAAAUGUUCCACUUACUUUAGAAUAUAAGAUAUUUUUCUUUCUUCAUAUUUUGCCCCUGGGAAAUGAAAUGAUUGUAUAGGGUGAAUGGAAAUAUGAGGGGAAAAAAGGCCAUCAGAUAUUUUCAUGAUCUCUGGGGGAGAUUUCCGGAUAUUUGUUAGUUAGAAUAUUGUUAUUUUUAAUUAUCAUGUACCUAAGAUGGUGCUCAGUUGAUGAAAAGAUUAUUGGUGAUAAGGAAUAUCUGUAUAGUGGUUCUGCAGUUACUGUUGACAUUUUUGUUAAGUAGGUUGGUGUUUUCUCCUCUUUGCCUUGUAGGCUAGAAAAGUAAGUGCUUUAAGAAAAAAGACUCAUGCCAUUGGAUCGGCGCGGUGCGCUGGCCGCAGCGUGCCAGCCGUGGUGGCCAUUGGAGGGUGAACCAAUGGCAAAGGAAGACCUUUCUCUCUGUCUCUCUCUCACUAUCCACUCUGCCUGUCAAAAAAUAGAUAAAUAAAUAAAUAAAAAGAAAAAAAAAAGAAAAAAGAACUUUGGGCAGCUAGCUACAAAAUGUUGGUAAUAAACUGACUUGAACUGAAGGUUUAAUUCCUGGUCUUUAAUAAACCAUCUCUAUCCUUCUCUAGUGAAGAAUUCAUACUUAUAUAACAGGUUGUCUUGGCUGAGUCAGAGCUGAAAUGAGAAGUUAAGCAAUAUUCCAUUGGAUCUUUCAUGGGUGCUUUGGGUGGGCAAUGUCCUUAACUGUCCCAAAAAAUUUAGGGUCACAAAAGCUUGCACCUAGCCAUGUCUCCUGUUAGUCUGAUGUCGCUCCCCCUCUUCGUGGAGGAACGACACUAAGCCCUGCCUAGGCUUCAUAUCCGAGUCACGGCACCAUUAUGUCGCUCCCCCUCUUCGUGGAGGAACGACACAGGACCCUGCGCUGUUCUUUCGUCUGCUCGGCCCUCCCUGGGUUUGCUGCUGGUUCUUCCCGGGUUGGCUACUGUCCCUUCCACCUCCGUGGAAGGGCGGUUCCCCCUGGCCACAUUCCCCACUUCCGCAGGGGAGCGGCACACCGCCGGCCGGCUCUCUCGGGGGCUGCACAGGUGUUCCCCUUAGAUGUUCCUCUUAGAUGUUCCUGGUGCAUGCCGUCUCUCUCCUCCUUUAUAGUCCUCCUCCGCCAAUCCCAACUCGGCUGCCCACACGCCAAGCACGCUGCUCUCCUCCAAUCAGGAGCAAGUCCUACAGUUUAUUGGCUGAACUGGAGGCAGCUGUGUAGAAGCUGUUUUCUUCUCUCCCAGCGCCAUAUUGUGGGAGAGCAGAUGCAUAGAAUAAGUCUUAAUUCCAGUAACAGUAUAGUCCGAGUUGCUCCCCACAGAUCCCCCUUUCUUUUUAUUUUUUGGCGUUGAUACGCGCCUGUCUUCGGUGUCCCGCGGCACACACUCUGCUCUACUUGCUAGAGUUGCCACAGGUUCUUACAAGUCCUAUCAAUCAGGCAAACCGAAUCCGGGUCCUCUCUUCGCCAUGUUGUGAGGAGGUUUUUAGGCGCUGAUGCGUGCCUGUCUUCGGUGACCUGCGGCUCAUACUCUGGUCGAGCCGCCUGCUGGUGCUUACCGCCUUACCAAUCAGGCAGACCGAAUCCAAGCCUUCUCAUUGCCAUAUUGUGGGGAGGCCCAUUGGUGUUGAUUCGUGCCUAUCUUCGGUGACCUGCAGCUCAUACUCUGGUCGAGCCGCCUGCUGGUGCUUACCGCCCUAAUCAGGCAGACCGAAUCCAAGCUCUCUCAUUGCCAUGUUGUGGGGUGACUUAUUGGUGUUGAUAAUGUGCCUGUCUUCGGUGACCUGCGGCGCAUAAGCUGCUAGCCGCCCGCAGGUGCUCAUCGCCUCACUAAUCAGGCAGACCGAAUCCAAGCCUUCUCAUUGCAGUAUUGUGGGGAGGCCUUUCUAUUUCUCUAUUUCUCUAUCUCCGGGCAUUCCUAUUUCUCCCAUUUUACUUCUAUCUUCCAGCAUUCCUAUUUCUCUCAUUUUACUUCUAUCUUCCAGCAUUCCUAUUUCUCUCAUUUUACUUCUAAACUUCUGUUUCUCUUAUCCCCGCGGCUUCCCGGCGCCCGCCCCGAGGCUGCUUCACGGCUCUGCCACUAGUAUUCAAUCUAAGUUCCCCGGGCUAACCUGGCGAAUUCAACCCAGCUCACGUCUCCGCCCCACGAUUUGGCUUCCCAUCCUUUGCUCCCCGGGCUAAUCAGACGGAUCCCAACCGGGCUUACGUUUCCGCUUCUGGUUUUAACUUUUCGCCCCCUAUUCCCGGGCUAACUUGAGAAUCCCAAAGUGGCUUUCGUCUCCGCCUUGGCCUGCCCCCACAGCUUCAAUUUCCCUAACAUUUUUCUCUACCCGGUAUGUUUCCCCAAGCUUUCCUCCAACAAUGCUCCUCCCUCAUUUCUCCUGGCCUCUCCCCACAGUCCGCAUCCGAGUCUGUUUGUUCUAGCUUUCACUUUCGCUUUCAACCUUAGAGAUUUCUCCCAGCUUCCCCCCGUAGUCCGUAUCCGAGUCUAUGCCUAGGCUUUCAAUAGCUUUUUCCGGCACCUUUUUCGUCCGGCUUUUCCCUAGGCUGUUUGCUAGUCUCUCUCUCCGAUAUUUUCCCAUUUCUUCCCGUUUCUUCCCUCCUAAGUUUCCUAUCCGUCCUAGGUUUCCUAUCCGAGUCACGGCACCAUUAUGUCGCUCCCCCUCUUCGUGGAGGAACGACACUAAGCCCUGCCUAGGCUUCAUAUCUGAGUCACGGCACCAUUAUGUCGCUCCCCCUCUUCGUGGAGGAACGACACAGGACCCUGCGCUGUUCUUUUGUCUGCUCGGCCCUCCCCGGGUUUGCUGCUGGUUCUUCCCAGGUUGGCUACUGUCCCUUCCACCUCCGUGGAAGGGCGGUUCCCCCUGCCACAUUCCCCACUUCCGCAGGGGAGCGGCACACCGCCGGCCGGCUCUCUCGGGGGCUGCACAGGUGUUCCCCUUAGAUGUUCCCCUUAGAUGUUCCUGGUGCAUGCCGUCUCUCUCCUCCUUUAUAGUCCUCCUCCGCCAAUCCCAACUCGGCUGCCCACACGCCAAGCACGCUGCUCUCCUCCAAUCAGGAGCAAGUCCUACAGUUUAUUGGCUGAACUGGAGGCAGCUGUGUAGAAGCUGUUUUCUUCUCUCCCAGCGCCAUAUUGUGGGAGAGCAGAUGCAUAGAAUAAGUCUUAAUUCCAGUAACAGUAUAGUCCGAGUUGCUCCCCACAGUCUGAUACAUAUGGACCACAUGGAACAGAUAGAUUUUAUCUACAAUUGUGCUUUUUUUUUUUUUUUUGACAGGCAGAGUGGACAGUGAGAGAGAGAGAGAGAGAGAAAGGUCUUCCUUUGCCGUUGGUUCACCCUCCAAUGGCCGCCGCGGUCAGCGCGCUGCGGCCGGCGCACUGCGCUGAUCCGAUGGCAGGAGCCAGGAGCCAGGUGCUUUUCCUGGUCUCCCAUGGGGUGCAGGGCCCAAGCACUUGGGCCAUCCUCCACUGCACUCCCUGGCCACAGCAGAGAGCUGGCUUGGAAGAGGGGCAACCGGGACAGAAUCCGGCUCCCCAACCGGGACUAGAACCCAGUGUGCCGGUGCCGCUAGGCGGAGGAUUAGCCUAGUGAGCCGCGGCGCCGGCCAAUUGUGCUUUCUUAAACUGGGGUAAAACAAUCAGAUUGCAGAGAGAGAUAGUAGAUUCCCAAGGAGAAACAAGUAGGAUCCUGGUCAGUGAGCCAGAUCUUGCCAUUUGGCCUGGGUAUCAGAAAGGAGCAUUGAUCUAGCCAGUCUACAGCCUUCUCACUUCACACACAAUUGUAAAUCUGCAAACACGACACUGAAAAUCAUAUGAUUAGGAAUUCCAAUUCUUUUUCAAACUACCUACCUAUUUAAAGGAAGGCUUUUCUGUACAUAAGAUUCCUCUAGAGAUAGAAACUGGGCUGUGGGUGAGAAUAUGAAGUGAAGAAUAAGGUCUAGUCACUUUUAAAUGAAGUUUUUAUGCCAAGGAUUUAGAGGCAUGAUAUUGUUGGAAUAACUUCAUAGAAUGCUCAGGUUGAUGGGCCUAGGGAACCUUCAGGUUGUACAUGUUUUCAGAGAUUUAAUGAUGCCGUUAUAAUUUUUAGUUUUGAUUAUAUAAUUAUGAAAUAAAGUAACAUGUAUAUUUCAGCCUAGUUACUCUGGACUAAAAUUCUUUUUUUUUUAAUUUAAAAAAAAUUUUCUUUUUUAUUUUUUGACAGGCAGAGUGGACAGUGAGAGAGAGAGACAGAGAGAAAGGUCUUCCUUUUGCCGUUGGUUCACCCUCCAAUGGCCGCCGCAGCCGGUGCACUGCGGCCUGCGCACCUCGCUGAUCCGAUGGCAGGAGCCAGGUGCUUCUCCUGGUCUCCCAUGGGGUGCAGGGCCCAAGCACUUGGGCCAUCCUCCACUGCACUCCCUGGCCACAGCAGAGAGCUGGCCUGGAAGAGGGGCAACCGGGACAGAAUCUGGCUCCCCGACCAGGACUAGAACCCCGUGUGCCAGCGCUGCAGGCAGAGGAUUAGCCUAGUGAGCCGCGGUGCCGGCCGUGGACUAAAAUUCUUAGAGCUGGGAAUUGAUAAGAUUAAUGUGAAGGUGAAUGCUUUGAAAGUUUAAAAUGAGUAUCAUGAGUUUAGGUAAGGCAUCACUUUAUUACUUUUGAACUCAUUUUCCCAUUAGUAAAAUAAAUAAUCAAGUAAAUAAGUAAAAUAAAAUAAUAAAGUUAAUCUUUAUCUGCAGUAUAGAGUGAUGACAUUGGUACCAUUAAGUAAAAUGAUGUACAGUCAUGGCUACAUAGUUUUGUAAAAGUGCUUGAUGAUGUUGGGACCCCUGUCCUUUACUACUAGGUAUUCGCUUUCCUAAAGACAGGAAAGAAAAGGAUUCUAGAGUGAACUUGUCCCACUCCUUGGGAGCUUCCAGUUGUGUUAUGAGAAUAGCAAGGGAGUGGCAAUUCUACCCUUCUGAGCUCUGUUUACUGUGAAAGCAAGUUACCUUUUUGGGGGUCCUGCCCUUCCAGGAUGGCUCCUUUAUCAUGAGUAAGCCAGACAGGGCAAAUAAGAUUACAAAUCAGGUCUUUUGAUGGGUUUUGUUCCUGCUUUGUAACUGUUAGCUUCUUCCAGUUUUUUCCCCCAUCAAAAUUGUGCUUAGAAACCCCACUACCAUUAGUCUCUUUGGUGUAGCCUCUCUUGGAGCUCCCCUCCAGACCACUCUGGCUGGAGGUUUCUGACUUAAAUAAAUUUUGCUUUUCUAGAAAGAAAAAAAAAAAAGUGAAUCUGUUAACCUGUUCUGUUGAAUAAGAUAGUACCUAAAAAUUAGUCCUGAUGGAUAUAGCAGGUGCUGUUAAUGCCUGUUCAUGCACCUUUAGCUUUAAACUUCAGUGCAUGCACCCAUCUCCAGUUGCCAGCACUUUCACCUCUUUGCUUAUGGGCUUUCUCUGGAAGCCAGAAAGGGAGAAUUAAUGCCACCUCUUCUCCCCUCCUGCCUUCUGCUUCAGUAAUGCUCAAUCAAUAUCUCAUGGAUGGAGGUGUGUAAAUAUCUCAGCUCCUUUACUUAUCAGGUAGGAGGAUGAUAUAGAAUACCUCUGAGGCAGGUAUUCUAUGUCAUUUUUGAGUUUCCCAUGGAAUUGAGUUUUACUUGGCCUACCUUGCUUAAAAGCAUAUCCCUUUUGAGUUCCUUCUCUCUCUUUUAUUUCCUCAUUUCCCUACUAGUCUUUCAAGGCUUCCUUUCCCAAAUAAAUUCCUUGGAUUCAAAAUUCCUGUCUCAGGUUCUGUUUCUGGGGUAACCUAAAAUAAGAUAGCAUCAAUAACAGUGAACAGUCUGGACUCUGUUCCUAUAUGAACUCAGUAGGAAAUGUGCAUUUCUAAUGGCUCCAAGACAAAACAUAUAGCCAUGACUGUCACAGAAGUCCAGCUACUCUCUGUUUUACCUUCCCUAAAGAAUACAUACCCACACUUUGGCUGUGGUGAGGGAGAAACAGUUGCUUGGCUGUGAAGUUAGAAAUGUAGACUUGGAGCCCGAUUCCUUCUUAAGCAGACUUUCAGCUAAAGCCCUUUCAAACUUCAUUUUCUGUCUUCCCUUCCUGAGGUACCUAGUGCUUCCAAUGUAAUAUAAGUCAGGCUACCUCUUGACAUUCUCCACUACUUGCUUUGUCUGACUACCCACUGGACCAGCUUCCAAAAUUUUGUUGCUCUUGGUUCUUCUCUUUUAGUUGAUUUGGUGGGAUUUUGUCUUGUGGAAAAGGCUGUUUAGUUUUGUUUUAGUGGAGUUGUGAAUAUGUGUGCUGAGUGUACAUGUUCAAUCUUCCGUCUUUAAGUUGAAAUGUAAAAUUACUGUUCACCAAAGAAAAUUGAAUAAAGUAAGGCUGAACAGCCAGCAGUAUUGAACAAAAUGAUAGGUGACAUAAAAUACCCCAAUAGUUAACAAUUUGUAUAUUUGUGGGUUUUUUUUAAAGAUUUAUUUAUUUAUUUAAAAGGCAUAGUUACAGAGAGGCAGAGGCAGAGGCAGAGAGAGAGAAGUCUUUCAUCCACUGGUUCACUCCCCAGAUGAUUGCAGUGGCCAGAGCUGCACCCAUCCAAAGCAAGGAGUGCGGAGCUUCUUCCUGAUCUCCCAUUCAGGUGCAGGGGCCCAAGCAUUUGUGCCUUCUUCUUCUUCUUCCUUCUUCCUUCUUCCUUCUUCCUUCUUCUUAUUCUUCUUCUUUUUUUUUUAACUUAUUUGACAGGUAGAGUUAGACAGUGAGAGAGAGAGAGAGACAGAGAGAAAGGUCUUCCUUCCAUUAGUUCACCCCUCAGAUGGCUGCUACGGCUGGCGCUGCACAGAUCCGAAGCCAGGAGCCAGGUGCUUCCUCCUGGUCUCCCACGCGGGUGCAGGUGCUCAGUCACCAGGGCCAUCCUCCACCGCCCUCCCGGAGCUGGACUGGAAGAGGAGUAACCGGGACUAGAAAAUAGUGCCCAUAUGGGAUGCCGGUGCCUCAGGAAGAGGAUUAGCCAAGUGAGCCAUGGCGCUGGCCCCCUUGCGCCAUCUUCUUCUGCUUUCCCCAGGCCAUAGCAGAGAGCUGGGUUGGAUGUGGAACAGCUGGAACACGAACCGGCAUCCAUAUGGGAUGCUGGCACUGCAGGCGGUGGCUUUACCCACUACACCACAGUGCCAGCUUCAACAAUUUGUAUAUUUCUGGCAUCUGAGAAAAAAACAUGUCAAAUGGUUAUUUCUUUCUAUGCUGUCCAUAAAGUACUUUUGAGUAAGAAGAAGCACAAAUGUGGAAGUUGGAGAAGAAACUGAAGAUUUUGUGACUUCAGUGUGUAUGGGUAUGUAUGCUCUAUUUGUGUAGGAUAUUUUGUACUGAAUAUCAUCAUUUGGAGUAUAAGUAUCGUUUAUAUGUUGUACAAGUCCUUUUUUUUGUAGUUAGGAGGAACAAGACUAUAAUACUUAACUGUUGCUUACAUGAGAAGUUUAAGGGUUUGAACAUAAAUAAUUUAGAAAGUUUGGCUACUUUUACUAAUGGAAUAAAUAAAUAAUUCAGAGUCUUGCUUAUGACUACAUAGUAAUCUCAGAACAUAAUCUUAAUCCUUUCUCUCUGAAUCCUAGGCUUUUCUAGAUAGACACAGUGGAAAAAAAAUCUUCCUUAUUCAUGUUACUCUACCUCUGUUGAUUAUCAGAUCAUAAUUGUACAUUUUAUCAAUUAGUGCUUUUUUUCUAAGAGAGUAUCUCCCUCCCUCUACCCCAUGGUACUGACUGUUUUAUUAUAUCUUAAAACUUACUAGUUCAGUAAGUUUUGUAUAUGGCAUGUUUAUUAAGUUACAAAAUUCUGUGGGUGGUUUUUCAUUUGUUCCUUAUACUCAAAAGACUGAGCUACCUUAGGAAAUCCACUUUCCCCCACUCCAGACUUCAUCUAUGAUGGAACUUAAAAGAAAAAUUCUUGGCUGAGCCUGAAUACUUUAGAACCAGCUAAGUGGUUUUCUCUGUCUGGAGAAAAUUGGGAAAAGGGAAUUAUUAAGCCCAGCAAAUGUAGUUGUUGAUGGAAAUGCUGACAGACUGGUCCUGCUUGGUGCCACUGUCAUGAGAAGUCAGUCAGUAUUAACUGUAUUGUCAAAAGCUGCUGCUUAUGUACAAGUUGUGUCUUGUAGGCCUUGUCACAUAUAAAUAAACCCAUUCAAAAAAUGUUAAGUGAUUUCCAUAAAAAACAUUUAUUCUGUUCUCAUUCUUAAGCCAAAUACUUGUUGUUUAUGGCUUCCUGUACCCAACAGUUCCUGAUUGUCUCAAAAAGCAAAACAUGUCCUGCGUGGAUUAAGCUGCUGAAAUGCCUUUCAGGCAUUGUUUAUGAGUCUGCCCUCUUUAUUUUCAGAGAGAAAGCGAAUACUUUAAUGUCUUCCAUAUUCCAUAAAUCUGUCCCAUGCUACAAUUCAAAGCUGUGUGUGUUUUUGUUAGAAGGUACUUCUGGUUGUACUUAGAGUGGAAAAGCUGCCUAAGAAUGUUAGCGAAUAUUUGGGUGGUGGUGGCAGACUCCCCUAAAGGGGAUUUAGUACUGGUUGAAAGUGCUGUUGGUUUUUUGGCUUAAGGAAGCAGUUACUAAAGGUGCUUUUACAGUUAGUAGUAAUGUAGCCACUCUUUGAUUGCUUUGCACCAGUGUUUCCUGUUUGGCUCAUCCUUUGGGACCAGUCUUCCCUCUGGGCAAGCUUGCUAAUUUACCACUUCUGACUCCACUGCUAAGUAGCAUACAGAGUGUGCCUGUCUAGUGGUCUGAAUAGAGGGAAAGUGUCUUUACUUGCCAUAAAUGAGAAUAUCUCUGGAGACUGAGCAAAAAGUAAUUUGAAGUGGAGAUCAAAUUUACUAUUUUUUUCACAUUUUAUUUGGUAAAAUUCUGAACACACAGAAAAGUUGGAAGAAUUAUAGUUACCAUCCAUACUUAUCUACUUUCUACUAUCUAUAAUCAAUACCUAAUGAUACCUGUUUUAUUAUAUUUUUUCAUCUAUUAUCCAUCAACCCAUCAUAUCAUUUUCUUUUUAUAAUUAUUAUUUAUUUAUUUGAGACACAGAGCUCCCAACUGUUGGCUCGUUCCAUAAAUUCCUGCAAUGGCCUGAGCUAGGCUGGGUUGUAAGCAGUAAGCUGAGAACUCAGUCCAGUUCUCCCAUAAGGACAGCAGGAAUCCAUCUUUCCAAAUCCCUAGAAGGAAUCACUGCUGCCUUACAAGGUUAGCAUAAACAGGAAGCUGGAGUCAGGAGCUGGAGCCAGCCAUCCAACCCAGGAACUCUGAUGUGAGAUGUGGACAUCUUAACUGCCAGGCUAAAGGCCUGCCCUAUCAUCAUGUCAUUUUGUGCAUUUCAAAGUAAGUUUGAAAAAUCAGUACACUCAUCUCUCAACACUAGUAUGCAUACAUUAAUGAGAGCCUACUAUCUGUUUAUUUUUUCUUUUGAUGUAAAAUUUAAAUACUGCAGUAUGUAAUCUGAAAUGGGUUUUUGACAAAUGUGUACACAGCCCUUAUUAAUACACAGAUCACUACCAUCACCCAGAAAGUUUUCUCAUGCCCUUGUGUACCCAGUUCUCUCCCCUUACUCAUUUUCAUUAAUGAGUAGUAUUUCCAAGUAUGAAUUUAACUAUUUGUUUAUUCAUUCUGCUAUUGAUGGACAACAUAGUAUGUUUCAGUUUGUGUCUAGAGAUUAAAGCUACUGUGAAUGUCUUUAUAUACACCUGUUUAUGAACAUAUGCUUCAUAUCUCUUGGGUAAAUUAACCAAGCAGUAGCAUUUUGGGUCUGAAUUUUAUGAGAUAAUGUCAAAUAUUUUUAGAAAGUAGUUCUACCAUUUUACUUCUUCAAUUAAUGUAUGAAAGUUUCAGUUUCUCUGCCUCCUUGCUAACAUUAUUUGUUGUCAGUCUUUUAAAUUUUAUUUUGGUGGGUAUGAGGUGCUGUCUCAUGUGGUCAACAUUUAUUUUAGGGUUAUCUUGGGAAAUGAAGAAUAAGAGAUAGAAGGUACAUAAAAACAAAUUGCAGUGGCCCAGGGAGUGAGUUUUCUGCCAUACUAUGGGACAUGGGUAAACCACUAGAUGAAGAAAAUACCAAGAAGGGGCCAGCACCGUGGCUUACUAGGCUAAUCCUCCGCCUGUGGUGCCAGCAUCCCAUAUAGGCGCUGGGUUCUAGUCCCAGUUGCUCCUCUUCCAGUCCAUCUCUCUGCUGUGGUCCGGGAAGGCAGUGGAGGAUGGGCCAAGUGCUUGGGCCCUGCACCCCAUGGGAGACCAGGAGGAAGUACCUGGCUCCUGGGUUUGGAUCGGUGUAGCUCUGGCCGUAGCGGCCAUUUAGGGGGUGAACCAAUGGAAGGAAGACCUUUCUCUCUGUCUCUCUCUCUCACUGUCUAACUGUAUCUGUCAAAAAAAAUAUUAAAAGAAAACGCCAAGAAAAACAGGACAAAAAGAUGGAGCACCUACCUGAGGAAUAGCAGGACCAAAGUCACUUCAGGGAUUUGGAAAGAAGAAUUACUGACUUGGAAAAUUAAAUUUAGUUGACCCCCUCCCUCAUUAUGAAAGUACUUUAUUAAUUAACUAAUGAGAGAGGGAGAGAGAGAGAGAGAGAGCGCGCGUGCGUGAGCGCUUCCCCAUCUGCUGGUUUACUCCCCAAACGUCCACAAUGGCUGAGUGUGGUGGGGAAGCUGGGAGCUGGGAACUCAGUUGGCAGUGGCCAAUUGUAGCCUUCACCACUGCCUCCCAGAGUUCUCAGUAGCAGGAAGCUAGAAUCAGGAGCAGGAGCCAAGGGUUGAAACCAGAUACUCUGAUGUAGCAUAUGAGCAUCCGACUGGCAUCUUAAGUAUUAAUUUAAUAAUAUUUAUUAUUAAAACUUGUAUAGAGGUAUAAAUAAACAGGAAUGUAAAUGAAAAGGCUAUAAUUUAUAUGUAUUGCUCAAGCCCAUUAUUGCAAGUGUGUAUAUACUGAUAUGCAAGUAUAGAUAAAUAAAUGAUUCUCAUUAACCUAUAGAUGAAAAUCUAAACUAUCUCACCAAAAUGUUAACAGUGGUUAUCUGUAGGUAGUGGGAUUCUUUCAUUCCUGUUAACAUUAUUAUAUACAUAUUUGCAAAAAUGGGCUUGAACCAAACUUAUAAAUUAUAGCCUUUUCAUUUACAUCUUGGAUACAUUUAAUGUCCAUAGUAUAAAUCUACUAAACCAAUUUAAAAAGUUUGUUAUGUAUAUAUCAUAAAUUAACUAUUCCUCUAUUAUUGGAUUUUGGAUUAUUUCUAACUUUUUUAAAGCAGCUAUUUUUUUGGAGAAUUUGCUAAGUAUAACUUGCUGGGUGGGCAGAGUUGAGGCAGGUAGAGAACCUGAAAUGCAAAAGACAUAGUUUUGCCUUCUAGGAACUCAUUAUUCAGUGAAACUGAAUCAGAUGCCAAAGUCAGUCUUUUUCGUAGUGAGCUAUUAAGGGACUGUGUUGUGAUUUGUACAAAAACUCUUAAGUAAGACUUAGUGUGUCUCUGUUGCUGGUUAGUCCUGUGUGAGUAUAUCUGGGCUGCAAAUUUUGAUAGAGUUUAGUAUUCGAACAAGUAUAAUAAGUAAGUUGUCAUUAUAAAUAGAAAACUGUGCCUUUCAUUUUCAAAUGUUAUUCCAUAGAACACUAGAAUUGUGUGAGAAUUGUACAGGGGUUCAUUGAGAGAAAGUGAAAUCUCACAAUUGGACAUGGAAGCCUGGUGUAUAAACAGUAUCAUGGAGUAGCUUUAUAACCUUCCUGCUGUGGACAUCCAAUUAAGACGGUUUUCUCCCACAGUUUUCUUUUCAUUGUGUUUAUGCAGUCAGAACCAAAUCAGUUCAGAUAUUAAUACUCAGUAACUUGUCACUCUAUGAGUUACAUCUUUUAAAAUUAUUGAUAGAAUAGUUCUGUUUUUUCCCCUCUGUCUCUUGUGGUCACCCUGAUGGUAAUACAAACGCAUAAUCUAUCCUUUCACAAUUUAUUUUCAAUAUGAAGCUUACUAAAAGCUCAGUAAGAGUUUUCUUACAGAAGAGGUAACGGUUAAAUUUACAAAGAGGAAAACGGGAAUAUAAUAUAAAAAGAAAAAUGACAAAAUAUGUCUAGGAGUUUGUGUACUUUUUGUCUUACUACUGUCUGAAUUUUAUCUGGUUUAAAUUGUGUUCCUCACCUCCUGGGAUUUUGUUUCUUGAACAGAAUAAAUAAUAAGUCUGUCUAUCCAUUUGUGGAAAAGAAAUCUUAGGAAAAAAGAGCAGAUGGUUGGAGCCAUUGUGUUUCUUACCCAGCUGGGAAGGAUACUAUUUUCAAAUGUUAUUUCCACUGUGUUUAAUACGGCUCAAGGGCCUUUUUCUAGCACCUUUUUUAUUUGGCCAUGUGUUUUGCCCAGCUCAUGGUGGGAUAGAGAACUCUGGUCAAGAUUUUGAUUCUAGGAAUUAACCAGCCAUUGUGACUAGUAAGAUUAAGAGCCUUCUCAGACAGAUUGUAUUUUUUUUUUUUAAAGAUACUCUGGUUAGAAGAAAUAACUUUAUGAGCUGAAACUGGACCUUCCUUCUGUUUCAUGAUCAGUGAAGAGAAGGGACUUAGAAGGGUUAUAACUUUAUAAAUGGGUGUAUACCUCUGAAGCCAAAAGUAUUUUUAGUUUAUAUUGGUUUUAAUAAAUUAAGAUUACAGUAUUGUUGUGGCUAGUGUCUUUUAGGAAAUCCAUUUAAGAAAUUCCCUUUCUUACCAGCUACAUUCUAUCUACUUAUUCUGAAGUUUUGAGUCAUGGAGCUAGUUUUUAUUUUAUGAUUGAAAUGUCUGUGGCUGCCAUUUUUUUUAAAGUCACAUUUCACUUUAAUAAAAAACCUACACUGCUAAGGUUACUAUCUGCAUUAUUAAAUCCUGCAUGUGCAUGGGUAUGAUUCGUAGAGAUUCCCUGAACUUGCAUUUGUCUUCAAACAACACCACUUUGCCACCAUUAACCCUAUUCAAAAACAUGCUCUUCAAAUGUUCUGAGCAACUGUGACAAAACGGGAGCAACCCUCAAGGUCCCCUCUUUGGAGGAAACAGAAAUCACGGAGCCAGGGGUGGGCAUUGUGGCGUUAUAGGUUUAGCUGCCACUUCAGACACCCAUAUCUGCUAUCAGAGCACUGGUUCAAGUGCUGGCCACUUUCCUUCUGAUCCAGCUCCUUGCUGAUGUGCCUGGGAGGCGGCAGUUGAUGGCUCACGUCCUUGUGCCCCUGCAACUUGCAUGAAAGACCUGGAUGGAGCUCCAGACUCUGGGCUUCUGCCUGACCCAGCCCUGGCUGUCACAGGCAUUUAGGGAGUGACCCAGUAGAUGCAAGCUCUUCAUCUCUCACUUGCUCUCUGUCAUUCUGCCUUUCGUGUGGGUGAAAAAUAAACUUUUUAUUUUUUUUUUUUUAAAGAAAGAAUUCAACAGGUUAAGUCCUUAUCCUACCUACUUCACCCCUUCCUUGGUAGUGUUUUUGACAACCUAAUGCUUUCAAACUGUCUAAACUAUAAUGAAUCCCAAAUGCAGGUAGCUAACAUUUUAUACAGUUCCAUUGAAGUAUAGAGUUGAUUUAAGCAUUAACUCUCUGAAUUUGACAAAUGCUUUCAUUGUUUUUACUCAAUAUGUUAUCCUGUUUGUCCAUACAUGUUGGAAUUUUAGGGAUAGAUCAGAAUUGGAUAAGAAUUAGUACACAUUAUUGCUUUCUUUUCAAGAGGUUCAUUCAUUCAACGUUAAUUGAAAGUCUAUAUCAGUGGCUGGCGCUGUGGCUCACUUGGCUAAUCCUCCGCCUGUGGCACUGGCAUCUCGGGUUCUAGUCCUGGUUGGGGUGCCGGGUACUAGUUCUGGUUGCUCCUCUUCCAGUCGAGCUCUCUGCUGUGGCCCAGGAGGGCACCGGAGGAUGGCCCAAGUGCUUAGGUCCCUGCACCCGCAUGGGAGACCAGGAGGAAGUACCCGGCUCCUGGCUUUGGUUCGGCGCAGCGCCGGCCGUAGCGGCCAUUAGGGGAGUGAACCAAUGGAAGGAAGACCUUUGUCUCUGUCUCUCAUUCUCUAUGACUCUCUCGCUGUCUCUCUCUCUCACUGUCUAACUCUGCCUGGCAAAAGAAAAAAAAGAAAGUCUAUAUCAUAAUCAAGUUUUGUAUUUGAGAUUCAUAAUCAAGUUUUGUAUUUGAGAUUAAAAGACUUACAAGACUCUUGCCUUUAAGAUUUAGAACCACAGAAGCUUGACAGACUGAUCAGUGACAAAGGUAUGCUACCUUGCUGGAUGUGUGUAUGCUCACAGAGGCAUCUACACCAGAUUGAGAUAAAUUUGGAGGGUGAAUAUGAGUUGGCCAGAAAAUUAGGGUAAGAUCCUGUUCCAGGUAGAGGAAAUAUUCUGUUCAGGGCUUGGAGGUUUGUGUUCAAGAACUUUAAGUAGUUCACUGAGGCCUGUAUGAAAGGGUAUGUUUGUGGAAAUGUAUCAAAAGAUGGAAACAAAGAAGUGUGCUGCAAACAGGUGAUGAUAGACUAUAUUCUAUGUUAACAGGACUGGAAUUUUACCCUUAAAGUUAACAUUGCAGGUUUGAAGGAAGGCAUAGACUUGUGAGAGUUGUGGAUAGACAAGGUUCCCUAGAGAGAGGUUAGAGGCUAGAUUAAAGAAGGAACAGUCUGGAGGCAGGAACUCCCCCAGCCCAUGCUGAGGAUCCACAGCCUUAAAGCUAAAGAUGAAGAAUAGUGACUUUUUCAUUCUUGAUUUCUUUGUCUUUUUUCUUUGUUUGUUUCUUUUUAGAAGUGGCCUGAUCUAAGACAGAAUGGUGAAGUGUAAUGGGAGAAGGAAUAAUGGCUCUAUUUGGAAAGGAGCAACAACAAUAAACAUGAAGACUAGAGUGCUUAUUUAUCAGACGCUGUUCUAAACAUGUUAUGUGGACUGUUUGAUAAUUAUUUUAUUCUUUACAGCAACUUGAGCUAUUACUAUUAUUUUCUCCAUUUUACAAAUGAGGAAACAGGAAAAGAGAGGUUAGAAAGCACGUUUUUCCUUAGUCACAUAACUAGUAAGUCUCAGAGUAAGGAUUUGAACCCACACUACCAUGUUUCAGAGUCUAUGAAUUUUUAAAACUCUUAUUUUGAAAUACUGUGACACUUAUAGUACAAUUGUAGAAAUAGCACAGGUUCAUAUAUGCUUUGUCCAGUGGCUGGUGCUGUGGCAAAGUGGGUAAAGCCACUGCCUGCAGUGCUGGCAUCCCAUAUGGGUGCCGGCUCUAAUCCCAGUUGCUUCACUUCCAAUCCUGUUAUAGCCUGGGAAAGCACCAGAAGAUGACCCGAGUACUUGGGCCCCUGUACCCAUGUGGGAGACCCAGAAGAGGCUCCUGACUUAGCUCCAGCUGUUGCUACCGCCUGGGGAAUGAACUAGCAGAUAGAAGAUCUCUUUGUCACUCCCUCUUUCUCUGUAACUCUGCCUUUCAAAUAAGUAAAUAAAUCUUUAAAAAAAAAAGCAACAUAUAUGCUUUGUCCAGAUUCCCCAAAUGUUACAUUUUAAUACAAUUGUUCUAUCCAUCUUUCUCUACAUAUGAUUAUAUAUGUAUAUAAUUUUUUAAAAAUGGUUUUAGAAAUAUAGACACAAUGGCCUCUUUCUAUAAAAGUUGCAUCCUCUUACAUAAUCGCUUUGUCAAAAUUAGGAAAUUAAAACCCAUAUAGUAUUCUUCUCUAACCUACAAACCUUAUUCAAAUAUUAAGAAACCAAAAACGUUGUUUUGGUUCAGGAUUCACCCCCAGAUCACUUGUUCAGAGCCCAUGUUCUUAGCCAUCUCUGCACUGUACAACCUUUCCGUGCAGCUAGUCACCAUUGCUAGUACUAGCAGAACUACCAAUGGGAGCUAAGCAUUGAAGAUACUGUUUGUUUUGAAAUCUUCGGUUUCCUUUUCUUCUUCUCUUCUUCAAAAUAUUUUCUCCAGUUAACAAUGCUUCCCUUUUUCUGCCCUCUCCUCCCAAUUCCUAUUACAACUUUGAAGCCAUCAUGAAGUCCCUUGGAAUUAACAAUUUUAGAGGCAGAAAUGUUGUCCUUCUGCCAGAUUUCCUUUCUUCUCAUGGAAAAAGCAUUUCUAAAAAACAUUAUCUUAACAGACUACAACUAAGAGGACCCACAUUUCCUUGGUUUACCUUUAAAAUGUAUCUUUUAGAACUGGAGCUCUGAAUCUGGGAUCUGUGAACGAAAGGUGCACUUUUCCCUCUGAAGUGAUCACAGUGUUAGAUGGAUUUGUGUGGAUUUCUGGGGACAGAGUCUGUAUCUUCCACGUGGGUUUCAAAAUUGUUGGUGACCCAGACUAGUUUUAAGAGUUUUCUUGUUGGUAUUUUCUCUUCUAGAGGAUGGAAAUUGCAUCUUGAUGCAUUUUCUUAGUCUCAUGAAAUCCUAAUAUGCAACAGAGUAGUAGGUCCUCUCAAAUUUUAACAUGCACUUCUUGAGAAUUCACGUUGUACACCAAUUGAUGUGAGCAUGGACACAUGUUAGUGAUCUCUGUUCCUAAUUUAAACAGACUGCUGUUGUGGGCAUUUUAGCUAUCAAUCUGUUCUAGUUCCUUAACAAGCAGCCCUAUCUCAUCUCCUUCUUUUGUGACCUCUUCUAGGGAAUGAAUGCCAGGCCAGCCACACUGUUUCACUACUGGGCAGUGAAAUAAGAUUAUACCCUAGUGGCAGCAAUAUUUAUAGGCAUUGAAACAGAAAUUGGUAAUUGUUACAAAUGUUCAGCAAGCCACAUUUCAUGACCAGCUUUGCAAGAAAAAAUUGAAAGUGUGAACAGCUGUUGGUGCAUUGCAUUUGCAUUUCUGAAGUUUCAAGUGAAGAUAAAACAUUAGCAGCUGUGAUAGAUUGAUUCCUCCAUUUGACCUAGUGCCUCAGGGUGUGCAAUACAUUGAUGUAGUCAGGCUGUCAGGGUGCUGGUGAGAACUGUGGGGAGAUGGAGAAUCUAAGAGAUGAAAACAAGUUUGUUACUUUUUUAAGUUUGCUUUUCUUCUUCUUCUUUUUUUUUAAUCUAGAUAGUCCUAUUGGUAUCUAGCAAUCUGCAUAAUAACUAAAAGAGCCUUUGAUUUAGGAAUUCCAAUGGUUGAUUAUCCUUAGACCUCAUAUACCUAAGAAUAUUAGAGUAGUUAACUCUCAUGUGGAUUGUGUAUCUUUAUUUUUUUAUGUUUUUAUGUGUUUUUGAUAUGUGUAUCUUGAAGAGACUUUAAUUCUACCUCUGAAUGUGUUUGGGUUUCCUCCUCUGGCUUCACUUAAGACACUGUUAGUGUUCUCUUAUGAGAUCCAAAUGCUUAAGGGCAGAAUAACUUUAUUGAUGAGAUUAUUUAAGCCCACCUCUGAUAAUAUUUAUUAAGAAAGUACAAUUUUUAAAAAUCUCGAGGGGCAAUGAAGUAAACUAUCACAGAAUAUAGAAUUGUUUCACUUUCAGGCUCACAGAAGCUCGAGACUUUUGAAGAGAGUCCAGAUGGAAGUAUUAGAGUCCAGAACAGAAGGUGUUGAGUGUCUGAAGCUCUAGAGGGAGAAGCUGGGGAAGGUAGGGAGGUAUUUGAGUCUCUCUUUCUUAAAAGGUUGGUGGUACUUACUCUUUACAGCCCUGCACUCAUGUCUAACUACAGAAAGGAAGGUCUAGGGCUUAUGUUAUGAUAACCAUGAAGCAAAUGUUAGGGCAGUGAAGAUUCUGACACAUUGAGCUAAGAGUUAGCAGAUUUUUGGUUCACUAAUGUUAAUGAGAAAGGAAAGUUAAUUUUUUGACUGAAAUAGUCUUAUUUAAGAAGACCCUUGAAAACCAUUGAAUCAAAUACUCUAUGGUUUUGACAUUCCAGCACUACAAUUUUAGUUGUAUAUGUAAUAAAAAUGAUAGUCAUUUGAAUUUCUCUUAUUUCUGGUUCAUUUGGGUCCAUAGCAUCACUGUGGUAUGUCAUAGGGUGGAUUGACUUAAAACUUUUUUAUUCUUGGAAUUUUUUCCUUAUUUGCGAACUAAAAUAGUUAUGUAAUCAGUGAUGGUAUCUUCUGCAGUUACCUAGGAAGCAGGAAGAUCUUGUGAUAUGAAUCACUUCACAAGAAUACAAUUGACAUCUGAUUAGAUAGGGUCGAUUUUUCUUGCCUUCUUUAGUUAGGGUUAUUGCCUCUGUAUAAGAAAUGGUAUUUGGUCAUUCCCUCUCCACUUCCAACCACUAGACCCGUUAAUCUUAUUGAAGACUUCAGAUUUUAUAUGCAGUCUGUGCAGGUAGCCAGAUGCCAUAUGCUGUUAAUUUCUUAUUCCAUGAAGGCCAGAUCAUACAGCUGGAAAUGAUUGAAAAGAAAAGCAUGUUCUUUUGUUUAACAAGACAAAGCCUAUUGUGUACUCUGCUUCUGAUGCUUAAAAGAUGUAUUUUUUUUUCUUGUGACUGCAUAGUAUGUAGGGCUAAAAGUUUUGAACUCUUCACUUCAGAAAUUACUUUUCCAGACAAAAGAGCAAAACAAUGUUUGUUUAAAUUGUUCUCUGGAACAUGACUGAUAGUGUUUACAACAUUUCUAUGACAUUUUGAUCCAGUAGGGAGUACUUGGAGAGGUAUUUAAAGUGCUUUUCACUAAGUCAGAUGCUUUGUAGUGUUUGAACCUUUUUAAAAAAUCAUUUGAAAGGUUGAAGUUCUGAGUUGAGAGACAGAAAAUGGCCAGGGCUUUCUCUAAAGAGUAAAAAUGACUUAUCAUAAGCAAACCCGAUUUUUUUUCCUUCAAAAAUUGAAAGCCUGCUUCUUGUUUAACUAGAAUAAGACACAUACCCGUUGGUUCAGGGCUUUGUCUCUCAUGCCAUGUCUCUUCAUAAGCGUUAUUUUCCAGAUCUACAUUCUAUUCAAUGGCAGCUUCUUUGGAAAAAGCCAUUGAGGGCCAUGUGUGUAUUAUUUAUGUGUGUUCUGUUUUUUGUUUUUGUUUUUUAUUUUUGUAAAAAUAAAUUCUACAGAGGAAGCUAUAACUUGAUUCAGGUGCCAAAGAUAUGUUUAUAGAACAUAGAGGAAAGCACUAGGUAGGUAUAUUGAACCAACAAUAGAGUAUACUUAGAAAAAUUUGUACUUCAUACAUUAUUUUUUCUAAUCUUGAUGUGACAUACCAGUGCAAGGCAUUUGACUGAUUGAAACUGCCUCAGGAAAUUCUAUGUGCCAUAAAGAAUCCAUGAGUAAAGUACCAAAUUAAAUAAUUGACCCAUUUUACAAAAAGUCUUAUAGAAAGCCCAAGCUUUUUAUGGUAGAUUUUCUGGAGAAUUCUGUUGAAUGACAUCCGACUAUAAGAAUGUUUAAAUUUUGUCUUUAAACUGGGGGCAAUCUUGUUCAGCUUUUUCUAUUUUAAAAUUUAUUUAUUUAAUUUAUUUGAGAGAGAGACAGACAGACAAAUAGACAGAGCAGGUAAAUGCCCAUCUGCUGAUUCAUUACUCAGAUGCCAGAGAGUUGGGAACUUAGUUCAGGUCUCCCAUGUGGACUGCAGGGAACCAACUAUUUUGAGUUAUCAUCUGCUGCUUCCCAGGGUACACAUUAUGUGCGUUUGUGUGUAUAUAUUUAAAUUUUUGAUUAAUGUGUAAUAGUUGUACAUUUUUAUGGGCCACAGUACAAUAUCCCAGCAAAUAUACAGCAACAUAAACUAAUCAAACCAGCUAGUUAAACUUUCUACUUCCUUAUCUUUUCUAUAUUUUAGAGCCUACCAUUGCCUCUCUUCCCUUUAUGUAACAUAUAAUACAUUAUAAUACAUUAUUAUGAAUUAUAGUCUACCCUGUGUGCCAUUCAUUUUCCAACCUCUGUCACCCUUUACCCUCACCCUUCUCCUAGGUCCUAGUAGUCACUAUUUAAAGUUGAGAUUGAAUUAAUAUGUUUAUAUAUACACAAACUGGCACAUGUGAGAGAGAAUGAUAGUUGUCUUUCUGUGUCUUUUUUCAGUUAAUAUAGUGAGCUCUAGCUCAAUCCAUUUUGCUACAGUGUCAGGAUUUUGUUCUUUUUAUGGCUGAAUAAUAGUCCAUGUGUCGGUAUACCACAUUUUAUUUAUCCAUUCAUUCAUCAAUGGGCAUUUAAGUUGAUUCCAUAUCUUGGCUAUUGUGAAUAGUGUUACACUGAAUCUGAGGGUGUAGGUAUUACUUUUAUGUGCUGGUUUCAUUUCCUUUGGUUAUAUACCCUAAGGUGGCAUAAAUGAGUCAUAUUUUUAGUUUUCUGAGGAACCCACAUACUUUUCUCCCUAAUGACUAUAUUAAUUUGUAUCUCCACAAACACAAUAUAAUGGUUCUCUUUUCUCCACAUUCUUGCCAGUAGUUGUUAUUUUUUGUUUUUAUUAAUAAUUGCCAUGCUAACUGGAGUGAGAGGAUACCUCCUUCAUUGGAGUCUUAUCUGUCCUUCCUUCCUUCCUUCUUUAUAGGAGAGAGGGCACAUGAGAGAGUACUUUUCCUGGUCCACUGGCGUGCUCUCCAAAUACCCACAAUGCUGGGACUGAGUCUGGGAGCUAAUAAUGUAAUCUAGGUCUCCCUUGUGGGUAGUGAAAACCCAGUUAGUUGAACCAUCACCUCUCCCUCCCAGGUUUUGCAUUGGCAAGAAGGUAGAUUCAGGACCUAGAGCCAGGAAUUGAACACAGGUACUCUAAUAUGGAAUGCAGGUGUCUUAACUGCUAGUCUAAACACCUUCUCUCUCAUUGUGGUUUUGAUCUGUAUUUUCUUGUUAGCUAGUGAUGUUAAACAUUUUUUCAUUUGUUUGUUGGACAUUAUAUUUCUUCUUCUGAGAACUGUCCAGUUUCCUUUCCUAUUUAUUAACCAGAUUGUUCAUUUUUUGUUGUUGGAUUUUUGAGUUCCUUAUUCUGAAUAUUAAUCCUUUGUCAGAUGAAUAGUUUGCUGGUAUUUUCUCCCAUUCUGUUGAUUGUAGAGAAAGAGAGGUCUUCCAUCUGCGGGUUCACUCCCCAAAUGGCCACAACAGCCAGAGCUGAGCCUAUCUGAAGCCAGGAGCCAGGAGCUUCUUCUGGGUCUCCCAUGUGGGUACAGGGGACCCAAGGACAUGGGCCAUCCUCCACUGUUUUCCCAGGCCCAUUAGCAGGGAGCUGGAUUGGAAGUGGAACAGCUAGGAGUUGAACUGGCGCCCAUGUGGGAUACUGGCACUGCAGGCCAAGGCUUUGACCUGCUGCGCCAUAGCACUGGCACCUGAUUGUUUAUUUACUCUGUCCAUUGCUUCCUUUGCUGCACAGGAGCUUAAUUUGAUAAGGUCCCAUUUGUCUGAUUUUGUUUUUGCUGCCUGUGAUUUUGAGGUCUUAUCCAAAAUGUUGUUGCCUGUGCCAGUGUCUUGAAGUGUUUCCUCUGUUUUCUUUUAGUAGUUCCAUGGUUUUGGGUCUUACAUUCACUUCUUUUAUCUAUUUUGAGUUGAUUUUUGUACAAGGUCAGAGGCAGGAGCAGAAGUUAAGGUCCUGUCUUAUGCAUAUGAAUAUCAUUUCCCCAGCCCCUUUAUUGAAGAGAUUGUGUUUGCUCCAGUGCAUUACCUUCUUGCUUAAAUUUAUCCCAAGGUAUUUUUUUGGUAAUUGUUAUGAAUGGAACUGCUUUUAUACUUUCUCAGUGAAUUCAUUAUUGGUAUAUAUUAUUGCUUUUGAUUUUUUGUGUGUUGAUUUUGUAUCCUCCAACUUUACUGAAUUUGUUUGUUAGUUCUAAUAGUCUGUUGGUGGAUUCUUUAGGAUUUUCUGUGUGAGUAAUCAUGUCAUCUGCAAAGAGGAAAACAUGUCAUCUUCCUCCUUUUCUAUUUCUAUGCCUUUUGUUUCUGAAGGAAAUAUAUUUAGAAAGUAUCUAAGUGUCAUUAGUCCAUUCAUUUUUUGUUGUGCUUUGGGCAACUUAGUUAAACUAAUGCUUGCUUCUUUAUAGAAGUUUCUAAGUUAAAACAUUUUAAGAUAUACAUUAUCUGUCUAAUAUUAUUUUCCAGUCAAUUGCAUAUAUAUGCAUAUAUUGUGUAUAUAAUCAUCAAAAAACUCGACAUAAGGUGGCAAACUUGGCAAGACCUUCUAGAACCACUGGCAGAAGAGGUGACCUCUGUGCCUUCUUCAAUAUUCUGAAGUAGCUCAGAAACACAGCAUUCAGAGUUUCUGUGUACAGUUUACGUUUCUUUCCAGUACUUUGCAGAAGCUCCUGCUCUAGUUUCUCUUCUGCUUUCUUCCACUCUCUCUGCAUUUGUGAUAGAGUUUUCUCUUUUCCUUGAGAGUUAUGAACUUCUUAGGUUUAUUAGUAUCCUCAGCAUCUUUCUCCACUUCUACUUCCUUGAUUCUUAGGCACAACAAUAUUUUUAACAUCUCUGGCCUGACUUCAUAAUUACUUCAUAAUUCAUUUUUGUUACACCUAGAGAAGUUUGGCCUAAUUUAUCAUUUAAUGAGUUCCUUUACUACUUCACAACACAUUUCAGAUACCAAUUUUGACACAUCAUUCAAGAGAUGGACAAUCAAUACGAUGAUGUGAGAAUUACAAUGAUGUAGUGCCACCAACAGCUCACACAAGCUGUUCGCAGCCACCUCUGCUAGUCAUCUGUAUGCCGUUAAGGACAUUGCAUUACUUUUCUUCAGCUUACUUUGCGUCCAAUCUUUAAUCACUUGCUUCAGAUUUUCCAAAUAAAAUUUGUACUGGCUAACCAGGCCUUCUUCAGAUUCUCUUAUCAUUUGGAUUUCUUUGCAGAGCUUGGAAGAUUUUUCUGCUUCUAUUAGGGGUAGGAUUUUAUAUGAAGGAGUAGUCUUUAAAUAACUCCAUCAGAGAACUGUCACCAGCUUUCAACCAGUAACAGCCACAUCAGGAUCCUGUUCCAUCAGCAUGGAAUAUAAUUCUUAAAAUUUCUUUAUGCUGCUUUCUGCAUCUGACACAAUGGCAGAGGCCAAGCCUGCAAUGUGAUUUUUCUUCUGUAGUUUCUUCUUUCUUUCAACCAAACACUCUUCUAUGGUCAGCUCUCUUGAAUAGGAUGUUCAUUGACCUCUUCCUCAAGUUCCAUCUCUUUUUGAUCCUGUUCAUCUUUGUUCUUGUAAAUAAUUGGCUUUUCCCUGGUCUGUACAAUUUAGACCACUUUUAUCUUUGAUAGGAAGCAAAUGAAUCAGUUCCUUCUCUGGUGCAGUUUGCAGAGUUCUUGAUAUUUUUUCAUAUUUAUCUUUAAUGCAUUCAUGCUUUCAUUUCUUGGUAGUAAUGGGCUCACUAGAUGAAAUGAUGGUUCCAUCAGGUUGUAUCACUUAGGGACAUGGAUUUAUUAGUAGCUCUUCAUACUCUCAUUGAGUUUGGAGACCUAACCUAUCAAGAAAGUCUUCACUGUGUCCAGACUGUUUUUCAUAUUCUUUCUGGGCAUGGUGAUGUUCUGAAUAUUCAUCCAAUGAAAUUCUGUACACAUCUCUCUGAAACACUGUUUAAGCUACAUGCAGGUGCUACCAAUGAGGGGUAGAGAUUGUUCUCCAGUGCCUUGAUGUCAUGCUUACCAAGUGCAGAAAGCAAGUUUCUCAACAAUGAGCCCUGGCCUUCAUCAAGAGCCUUUGUACCCUUGCUCUUCAUGUUUUUCCAAAUUUAAACAUUAACAUUUUAGCAUCUACCAGAAUGCUAAUGCAGACUUCCCCAAAAACGGAUCUGUUGCUUGACAGUGAAUCUCAGGGAAGUGGAAUUUUCCUCCCUGAGCUGGAUGAACCUGAGUACUGUCAUACUCAAAACACUGCUCUCUGGGAAUUGCAUGCACUGUGGAGAUAUUGGCAUCCCAUAGUGCAGAGAUUCGCUGCACACCUGAUUGCCGGAGCACCUGCUGGAGGCUCUGAAAUACUCAGGCUGAGCUGUGCCAAAGAUCUGCUGCUGAACUUUUUGAGACCUACAGCCUGGCAGCAAUGACAUUCACUCCUCCUGUUGAAUCUUCACAGUCCAAAAAGGAGAAUAAAAUUGUACAAGGGCAUUCACUUUCUAAAUAAAGAUUUAAAUCAACUAGUCUAAAGACAUUGCAAUGAAGUUACUACUCAGUCAUCCCUGGGUUUUACCAAAUAUUUGAAAACAUCAUUAUGACAGUAGACAGAAUGAAGAAUUGGUAGACUUUGUUGUAUAUUUGCAUGCAGAUACACAUAAAGAUAUGUUGUCUACCUAGGACCUUUGAUUUUUAUACAAGAAAGACUUCCUAAGAAAGAUUAGGAAGAAGACAGAUUACCUUUUAUGUGGCACAUGCCUGGACUUCUGUUCUGUAAAUGUCAUUUCAUUAAGAGAAUUAAAAGCCCCUGAUAGUAUUUGGAAAUUUCUUUCUUUGUGAUGCUGCUUUAAAAAAAAAAACUUACUGUACAUAUUAAAUGAUAGUUUUUUUUAAUAAAAACUUUGGUUUGAAUCUUCCUGGAAUCAGUUGAUAUAUAGAGCAGAAAAAUCAAGACCAUGAGAAUUUUUUAACCAUUUAAGCUACUCUUUAUAUCCACUCUUUUUUUUUUUUUCUUUCAAGAGGCAGAGUUAGACAGACAGAGAGAAAGAGAGAAAGGUCUUCCUUUUUUUUAGUUGGUUCACCCCCAAAAUGGCUGCUAAGGCCAGCGCACUGUGCCGAUCUGAAGGUAGGAGCCAGGUACUUCCUCCUGGUCUCCCAUGUGGGUGCAGGGCUCAAGGACUUGGGCCAUCCUCCACUGCCUUCCUGGGCCACAGUAGAGAACUGGCCUGGAAGAGGAGCAGCGGGGACAGAAUCCGGUGCCCUGACUGGGACUAGAACCCGGGGUGCUGGCGCCGCAGGCGGAGGAUUAGCCAAGUGAGCAGCUGCGCCGGCCUAUAUCUACUCUUUAAGACUAAAUAAAUAUUAUUUAAAAACUAAAUAAUUAUUAUUUAGAAUGAGUAACAUUCUAAAUUUGAGUGAAAAUAUAUUUGUGAAGAUUUUUGAGAAAAAUAGGUUGAAAUUGAAAAAAAAAGCAUAAUCAUAUGCCGUCAUGUUUUAACAUCUUAUGAAAUGAUAUUUUUGGUGUUUCUUUAAUUGUAUUGAUGUAUGUUUUUUUAAAAAUAUUUAUUUAUUUAUUUGAAAGUCAGUUACAGAGAGAGAAGGAUAGGUAGAGAGAGAGUGAGAGAGAUGUUCUAUCCUCUGGUUCACUCCCCAGUUGGCUGCAAUGGCCAGAGCUGUGCCGAUCUGAAGCCAGGAACCAGGGACCAGGGACCAGGAGCCAGGAGCUUCCUUUGGGUCUCCCACAUGGGUGCAGGGGCCCAAGGACAUGGGCCAUCUUCCACUGGUUUCCCGGGCCAUAGCAGAGAGGCUGGAUUGGAAGUGGAGCAGCUGAGACUCAAACCGACUCUCAUAAGGGAUGCCAGCACUGCAGGUGGCGGCUUUACCUGCUACGCCACAGUGCUGGGCCCUUGAUAUAUGUUAAAAUAGUCUGUGAUCCCAGUGAUAAUGACACUUAUUUUAGUGUUACUUCUUAAUUUUUUUUGACUCUGAAUUUUAUAAAAACAAAGAUGAGAAUGGUUCCACCUUCCCUCUUCUUUGUAAAUCAGAAUAAUUUCUUUGAGUUUGUUUCUCCUUCCUAUCUUUUAAAAUUGUAUUAGGUGAAUGGGUUUAUUAGUUUAGAUUUCUGUGACUAGUUAUAUUUGGGGUAAGGGAAGCUUAGUGGUGAACCCCCUACUUGUAAGAUUUUCUUAGCCACUUUUAAUGAGAACUAACCAGUGUUCCAGGAUUUAUAACUAUUUUUCUAUAUUAGAGGAAUGAGUAGCUUUAAAAAAAUAACAAACUUUAUUUUCAAGAAUAGUUUAGGUUUACAGAGAAGUUGAAUUGAAUAUAUACAAUCCCACAAAUUGCUCGCCUUCAUUCUCAGGCAGAGUUUCCUCUUGUUAUGAUCUUACAUUAGUGUGAGCACCCCCUCUCCUUUUUACAAUUAAUAAGUCAUUAUUGAUGACUUUAUUUAUGACAUUAUUAUAACAAAAGCUCAUAGUUUACAUUAGUACUUACUAUUGAUGUUGUGUAUUCUAUGGAUUUUAACAAAUAUAGUAUGUAUCUACCAGUACAGUAUUGUACAGAAUAGGUUUACCACCAUGAAAAUCCUGUGUAUUCCCACCUCCUUAUCCUUCCACCUUCCUCCCUUAAUCCUUGGAAUAACUAAUCUGUUUACUGUUCUUCAUAGUUUUGCCUUUUCCCAAAUAGCAUGCAAUGGCGAUCAACAACUGUAAAUUUCCCCAUAGACUCAGCUUAUGCUGCAUCUCACAGAUUUUCUUGUUAUAUUUUCAUUUAGUUUGAACUAGUUUUUAAUUUCUUUUGAGACUGCCUCUUUGACCCAUAUGUUAUUUUGAAGUGUGUUUUCAGUCUCCAAGUAUUUUGGAGUUUGCCAGCUAUCUUUCUGUUAUUGACUUCCAAAGUCCUGUGUGUGUAUGUGUGUGUGUGUAUGCUCAUAUCCUUUUCCAUCCCUAACCUCUGAUAACCUCUGAUCUCUUCUCCAUGCUUUAAAGCAUAUAGUUUUGUCUCCUUAAGGACGUCAAAUAAUUGAUAUCACACAGAUGUAUACUUUAGAGAUCUUUCAUUCAGCAUGCCUUUGAUAUUCUUCCAACUUAUUGUGUGGAUCAAUAGUACACUGCUUUUUAUUUUUGAGUCUUAUUCCAUUGUAUGGAUGUGCCCCAAGUUGUUUAUAUCAAUCAGCUGUUGAGGGAAAUUUGGAUUGUUUUCAAUUAAUAGAGGUGAUGUAAAUAAUUACAUACAUAUUUGCAUGAAGAUAUCUGGGGUAAAUACCGUGGAAUGGGAUUUCUCAGUCAGAGGGUAGAUAUGUUUCACUUUGUAAGAAAUGAUGAAACUGUUAUCCAGAAUGACUGUGUCCUUUUUCAUUCCCACAGCCCUUUUUCAAACUUUAAAAAGUAACCUUGUAUGUUAUUGUGGUUUUAAUUUUCAUCUCCAUAAUGGCUAAUGAUCUUGAGCAACUUUUCAUGUGUUUAUUUUCCAUCCUGUGUUCUCUUUGGUGAAGUAUCUGUUCAAAUAUUUUGCCCAUUUUUAAAUUGAGCUUUUCUCUUCUUUUGAACCUUUGGGUUUGUUUAUAUAUUCUGGAUGCAAAUCCUUUAUUAGAUGCAUGAUUUGCAGCUAUUUUCACUCGUCUAUACCCAGUUUUUUAUUUUUUUAUGUUGUCUUUUGUAGAGCAAAAGGUUUUAGUAUGAAAGUGAAUCAUCAUUUUGGUGCCAUGCCUCAGGACUCUGCUUUAUACUUGGUCAUGAAAACUUUCUUCUAAAUAUUUUAUAGACGAAUAUUUCAUGAUCUACUUUCAGUUAAUUAUUGUAACAGUUUAUAAAAGUUCUGAGAUUUAGUUUAAUGUGUCUUCUUUCCCUUCGUCCUUAUCCUCUUCCCAUUUAAUGAAAAAGGACUAUCCUUUCUCCAUUGAUUUAUUUUUGCACUUUUUAUAAAAAAAAAGAAGGCCAUACUUGUGUGAGUCUGUUUCUUGAAUAUCAUUUUUAUUCCACUGAUGUCCAUUACUGGUGUCUGUCCCUUUGCUUGUCUUGAUUAUUGUAGCUUUAAAAGUAGGUCUUGGCCGGCACCGCGGCUCAAUAGGCUAAUCCUCUACCUAGCGGCGCCGGCACACCGGGUUCCGGUCUGGGCACCGGAUUCUUUCCCAGUUGCCCCUCUUCCAGGCCAGCUCUUUGCUGUGGCCCAGGAAGGCAGUGGAGGAUGGCCCAAGUCCUUGGGCCCUGCACCCCAUGGGAGACCAGGAGAAGCACCUGGCUUCUGCCUUCAGAUCAGCGCGGUACGCUGGCCGCAGCGCGCCAGCCAUGGCAGCCAUUGGAGGGUGAACCAACGGCAAAGGAAGACCUUUCUCUCUGUCUGUCUCUCUCACUAUCCACUCUGCCUGUCAAAAAAAUAAAAAAAAAAAUUAAAAAAAUU